GCUUCUUAAUACCUUUAUCAUCCUUAACAUUUGAUUAAAAAUGACAUAAAAAUAAAAUAGAUUUAGAAAAGACUCAUGAUAGCUAGAUUUUUAAAUUCAACAAUCAAUUUCCAACCUUUGACCAAGGUUGGAUCGAUUUCAAAAGUUUUAUUAUAUUUUUGUGUCCAACUUUCUAUUACCAUAUUCUUAUAUUUUUAAUAUACAGUAAAUAACGUGAAUGAUGUACACACAACAUUUAAGUACACAUUAUCAAACAUUGAGUUUAAAGUUUAUAGAUGUAUCAAAAACUAUGAAAAUGAAAACUAAAGGAAAAUUAAUAGUCAAGGUAAAACUUCAACUUAUUUCCAUCUUCUUCAACUUUUCAUAUUAUAAUCAUAAUCUCUACUUUUCACAUUUAUCAUCUAAUUUCAUAUUUUUUUCUUUUAUUGGAGAAAACCAUCUAGUUAUUCUACACUAUAGAAACUAUUAGGAUGUUUUAAAUUCGUUACGGUAACACUACGAUUUUGACUAUAAAUUUAGAGAAUGACAAUAUAUAAUCACUUAUUUAAUGACAUUGUUUUGUAAUAUAAAACAUUCUCUCUAAUCGGUUAACAAAUAUAUUGGAAACUUAGUGCAUGUUGAGUUAUUAACAUUUAUUUAGUUACUCAAACGGCCAGCCACUAUCUAAUAAAUUAAAAAGAAGAUAGCUAAGGAACAAUAAAUAAGGAAGGGACACUUUUUGUUAGUGCGCAGUUUUGAUAAGCAUCUAUAUAUCUAAGAUUGCCAAUCUCAAACGUUUCGACACACAAUUAAAAACUAGAGCUUUCUAUCUCAAUCAAUGGGGCAAGUUGGCAGCAAAAUUUAGAUAUAUACAUCUAUAAAAAAAACAGAUUAAUAGGUAUUUAAUGUAUAACGGCCAACUACAAAAAAAUAUAAAAGAGAAAGAAAAUUCAAAUCACAAUUCAGCAGGACUUUUUAUUUGUAAUAUAUAUGUGUUUUUCUUUAAUAUACCCAACUAGAUUUUAGGGCAAAUUAAGGAAUCAUUUAUUUUUCAAGUAACGCCCAAUGUGAUUGUAAAGUGACAACUCCAUAUUCAAUCAUACAUGAUGUUUUUAAUUAGACUCUUAUUAUAUAGUUUUUUAUAAUUUCUUUCUUUUUUUUAAUAAAAAUUAUAUGUAAUAAUUUAUAUAUAGGCUGUUCUCUCAAACACUCAUGUGAUGUAGGGUUGUCUUCUCUAAACAUAUAAAUAAAAAUGGCUGUGAUUAAUUUUUAUAUGCUUAAGAAGAUUAAUUGAUUAAAGAAGAAAAAAAGAGGAUAUGGAUCUUGUAGGACAAAAUUAAUUGAAUAAGCUUAAUUACCUCAAACAAUGACCAUUAUCAUCAUUUGUAUAGAUGUUAAGGAGUGUAAUAUAACAUAAAACCAAUCAACAUGAAUAUUUGAAUAAUAUAAUAGAAAAACACAAAUAAUAGAAGUGAAAAUACUCUUGGUUUUGUUACCAACUAUUAAAUGUUGAACAUCAAUAUCUUAAUAUAGUUAUCAAUUAUCACGAAAUAAUUGUCCAAAUAAAUCUUAUAUAUACAUACUUUUUUUAUAUUAAAAAUUUUAUUUAAUACUUUGAUUAAUACGAAGAUAUUUAAAUUAUGUUUUAACGAUAACAUGUGAAAUUACAAAAUCAAAUCUAUAACUUUGAACUCGAUAAUAUAAAUAUCAUGUCAGUUGAAUUAUGCUUAUUUUAGAUGCAUUAUCAAUAUUAAAAGAAGUAGGGGAUCAUGCUUAUGAAGUUGGACCAUAUACGAGAUGUGGUGAGGUGUUGUUUUAAUUGCUAGGCUGGUAUCCUUGGUCCACGUACAACUACAAGAUCUUCAAAACUUAUAAACUCCAAAUUUCUUGUACAUCUCCCACCUUUCAUUGCUCAUAAAUGACUUUAAUUUUCUUUUCCUAUGAACAAACCCUAGACUCACUCUAUAAAUAUAUAAAAUUUUCUUUCUUUCAUUAUUAAAAUUUCUAUGUUUGUAAAUAAAUUUACUGUUUCUUACUUUAAAUUCACUAUAUUGAUUUUUAUUUUUAUUUUUUUGAAAAAAAUUCAAAAUACUUCUCUUCAAAAUGUAAUACCCCAUAAAUAAAUAGUUUUCUAAGAAAAAAAUAGAAGAUAUUCAAUAUGUCUGUUAUCUAAUAGUCCAUAAAUAGUUUCUUCAUUUAUUUGAUUGGUAUAGGUUGGAUUAGUUUAUUUUAAUUUACUAUAAAUCAAUCCAAAACUCAAGGUAAGACGUGCUUUAGUUCAACAAUAUGUAUGACACUGCUAAAAUUAUAAUCUCUAUAGUUAAUUAAGGAUACACAUAAUAAUGUCAGUUAACUUUUAUAAUUAACUUAGAUUAUUGUUAGGGCUUCAUCCUAAGUCCUAACAUUUUGAAAUUUUACUCUCCAUUGUGAAAUAUGAGUAGAUGAUUAGUUCAUAAUAUGGUGGGUAUUUCUCUUGAAUUAUUAUUGCCUUUUCUAGUUACGCAUGUACAUCAGCAUAUCAAUAUUCUCUUUUGUCUUUUUGAUAUUAGACAAUCGACAAUUGCAAUUAUUUUUGUCCUAUGUCACGUUGUGAACAUAAAUUUCCUUUUGGACAAUUUUGUUUUUGUGUGUAGGGAUUAGUAUAUUUCCCUUCAUUAUUCUUCACUAAGUUCUUUCUUACUGCAUGGUUUUUGGUUAAUCUUUUUACUCUAAAUAUCAAUUUACUGUGGUUUAUUAACAAUAUUUUAAUUAUAUAUACACAAUGUUAUGUUGUGUGUGAUAACAAUAUUCCAAAUAUAUUUACAAUGAUAUGAUAUUCUUCAUUUUUGAUAUUAUAUUAUUUUGUGGUUUUGCUUUUGGUUUUACCCCACAAAAUACCUAAUACUCAAUAAGAUAGUUAUCUUUACUUAUAUAGUAAAUAAUCAUCUCCUUAUUCUAUCUAAUAUAGGACUUUGGCCGUAUUUGAUCAACAAGUAGUGCAUCGAUAAAAAAAUUUAUGAGAAAAUCGAAAAGUGAAUAUACGAGAUGAGAUUCAAACUUGACACUAAAACGGGUUGGAACAUGUAUUAACCACCAACCACCAAGUUACUACAAUUAUUUUUGUAUUAUAUGAUUUUUUCUAUAUAUAUAUUAUCUAAAGAGUAAAAAAUUAAAAGGGUUUGAAUCCCUGACUAACAAGUUAAAUUUGUAGGUGCCUAUAGAGGUGGAGAGAGAUGAAUUCAUUACUAUUAGAAACAAUAUGUAUAGGACACAACUAUUUAUUAUUACUAAGAGAUGAGUUGAUAUCAUUAAUUCAUUAUUGUUUGAAUCCGAUGGCACAAUCCUAUAUAUACAACAAAGUAAGUUGAACCACGAAAAGUAUAGGGCAGAACUAAUUGGGUAAAAGGACUCCAAAACUUUGGGCACAUACACAUAACCACCACGUUUACAUAUGUUUUCGGGUAUAAUAUAAUUGCAAAGAUUUAUAACAAAAACAUUAUGCAUUUAUUCAUAGCCAAACUGACAUGAGUCAUUUCUUGCACAUUAUAUCAUUUAUGAAGAGUAGGUAAUGUAAUUUUGUGUCACUUUUUUUUUUUUUGUUGUGUAAUUAUGACAUGUAUGUUAUAUAUAAUAUAUAUAUGUUCCCAACUACCAAAGUUAUGAGGCACACGUUGGAAUGGGAAAAGGCAUUACUACCGCAUGAACUUUUUGACCCCUAAAAAAAAAUGAUUCAUUUAUUUAUGGUCAUCAUGGUAAUUAUAUAGAAAAUGAUAUGUAUAUUUGAGAGGGUUGUCUAGGUAGAAAUUAGAAUUUUUUUAAUGGUUGAGUAAAUAAUGUAAGAAAUUGAAGUUGGUGUAAAAGAAUGACACGUCGGUGAUGUGUAAAUGAAGAAAAAAAGUGGUAUAUUGUAUUGGUAUUUAUUGAAUUGAAAUGGACAGGGCAGUAUAGAAUAUGCAUGGGUAUAAUGAGAAUCAGUCAAUGUACAAGAUGUAAAUUGUAUUAGUAUUUAUGUAGAAAAAUUGUAUCCGUAUAUUUAGAUGAUUCAUGUAGUUGUUUCAAUAUUCACACAUUUUCAGUAUAUCUUAUCGAAUUAAACAAACAUUUUUAAAAAAAGUUAAGAUGAGUAAAAGUAGGAUUAGAUGAUACGGAAAUAUAAUGUUAUGAAAAUAAUUUAUAAACCAACCGACUCUUUGAAUGUCAUUUAUUUCCUUUGCUAACGAAUUUGUUGACUCAAUUACCCAAAACAAAAAUUUGUGCAUAGUCUCAUUCCCAUUGUAAUGAAGAAUUGACUGGGGAUGAGGUCAAACCAUAGAUCUUUUUAGGGUUCCCAUUCCGUGAUUAGGGAGGGUCUCCGCUUCGAUUCUGAUUAGAUUUUUAAUAUGUAUUAUAUAUAAAUGACGGGUGAAUCCAAUCUUAAACGAAUAUUUUGGUCACUUGUACAUUCUCUACUGUUAUAUAUUCUUUAAUCUUUUAAAAUUGUUCAAUAAAAAAAGUGAAGCUGCAACUAAGAAUGGGAUGGGUGUGGUGAGGCAGUUAUGUUAAUUUUUUCUUAUGAUCAACCCAUUAUUUUGAUAGUCUACUACUUGUUUACUACGGGUUGUAGGUGGGGGUUAGGUGAAUGUACAACAUACAAAUUCAAACACAUUCAAUAUUAUUAUUUUAAUUUUCCUUCUCUUCUUCUUUUGCUUUAAAUUCUAUGCUAAAAGAGUCCCUCUCCUAUUCACACCCAUUUUUAAUAUCUACACACACUUAUUACUUUUUAUCCUACAACCUAAACAUAUGUGAAUAUUUCAACUUAUUCUAACCUUGAAAUUUGAUCUGAUCCCAAUAAUUGGAUUCCAUAAAAAAUCAUCACUUGAAUCAUUUAUAUAAUAUCUAUGAAGUAAUUUAUUCAGAUUAUUUAACUUAAUUCAAGCAAAUGCUAGGUGAUCUGAGAAAUGAAAAAUUGCAACAAUCAUUUUCCCACCAAACCCCAUGUCCUGCAAGGCAUCCUUCAUUUUUGUUGGUGUAAAUUGAUAGCUACUCCUUUUCCUUUGGUAAGGAAUAUUAUAUGAAAAUAGGGUAAUGAAAUGAGAAUAGGAAAAGAGGAAAAGAGGAAAAGAGGAAAAUAGGAAGAUGGUUGGUAAGGGUAGAAAGAGAAAUAUAGGAAAGUGAAUGGGCUUGAGCCCAAAAGUAAAAGAAUGGAAAUGGACUUGAGUUUUCAAUUCUCCACCAACCCCGAGGGGCUACAAAAACGGUGGGAUUGGCGCGCGCAUUACUUGCGAAUCUGAGUAAAAAACGCGUCCAUGUUCAAAGACGGAGCCACAAUUCUUCAUAUUUAUUUUUGACUUUGUCCUCCAUUUCCGUCUUCCUAUAUUUCUGCCCGUGAUUUGCUUAUCGAUUUUCAAAGCAACCAAGAACCAGCGAGACGGACGGAACGAGGAGAUGGGGAUUAAGAAGGCCACCACAUUGUUGGAUGAUUUUUUACACAACGCUGGAGGUUGUGCGGUAAUUGAUGGAGGUUUCGCCACACAGCUUGAGAAACACGGCGCUGUCAUUAACGAUCCACUUUGGAGUGCUGUUUGCCUCAUUAAUGAUCCUCACCUAAUCAAGAAGGUCAUCUCUUACAGUAUUUGUUGUUGUUCUUGUUCUUGUUGUUUCGGUGCAUCACGUUCUCAUUCUCAUUGUUGCUUGGAUUGUAUGUGCUAUCAGGUUCAUUUGGAGUACUUGGAGGCUGGAGCAGAUAUCUUGGUUUCUUCAUCUUACCAGGUUUGCAAUGCCAAUGGGCUCAGCUUUCUUUGUUUUUGUACUUUUCAAUCUGUGAUCGCUUUGGAGUGUCUUUUUUUAAAAUGUUCUACUCUUGUUUGUUUAAAACUUGAUGGUUCGAAUUGGAUUUUUUAAUGACGAUGAACAGAACGAGUGAGGAUCAAACUGAUCACUCCUCUUGAAUUGAAAUCAAUAAGUUCAUAAUGAACGCUUCUGCCGGUCGUGAAAUGAUGAACCAAAUUUGAUCCCCUGUUCAUCGAACAGGAUCAAAUUGGAUAAAUUUCAAUCAACUUAAAUGAAUUGGAUUGAAGUUCUUUCCAUGAAGUAACAUUUCUGGAAAUUCACGUUGUUAUAAUUAGUGGACCAAUGUACAGGAAGCAGACAGUAUUUAAUAUGUGGAAGGUUAAUGUUUGUGUGCUUAAUAAUAUCUAACCACAUCGGUUUAGCUCCAUUGUCAAAAUCCCUAUUCUAAUGUAUCAUUACCUAUGUAAGAUAUUAAAUAUCCUGUAAGUUUUCCAAUGUUAAACGUUGCAAAAUUAAGUGAUCAAUUCAACAGAUUGAUUGAAUGGCAUUUAAAAUGACAUUUUGUUUGUUAUGCUAAUGUAAAAGAUCUUCAUUUUUCCAUUUAAAAUGAAAUUCAGUUUUGUAUAACUCAGAAUUUGUAUAUAUCAAUAUUAUUGAAUUUAUAUACCCUUUUAGUUUCAUAACUUUAUUGUUCCGUAUUAGAAUUCUUUUUACAAGUUUGUGGCUUAUAGUUCCUUAAGAAUUCCAACAAGCUUUAGGAAUUGAAAUGUUUUCUGGCUUUAUUUCUCAUAAUUUUUUUUUAUAGAAAUAAUUGCUUCUUUUAGAAAUUAUAAACAGAAUACCAACAAAUCAGUAUUCAAGCCAGUUAACUAUUCUCUCUUGUUGAACAUUUUAUUCUAUUACAGGCCACAAUUCCUGGGUUUAUAUCAAAGGGGCUGUCCGUUGAAGAAGGGGAGUUGCUCUUAGAAAAGAGUGUUAAAUUGGCCAUUGAAGCUCGUGAUAGUUUCUGGGAUUCUGUGAAGUGUAUCCCAGGGCAUAAGUACAAUAGGGCUUUGGUUGCAGCAUCCAUUGGAAGCUAUGGUGCCUAUCUUGCUGAUGGUUCAGAGUACAGGUGAAUUUGAAAUAAUUAGUCACAAGGAGUUUGUAAAUAUUUGGUAUUGACAAUUUGAUCUAAACCUAUUUCUACCUCCCCUCCCCAGUGGGCAUUAUGGGCCAGAUGUAAAUGUAGAUAAGCUGAAGGAUUUUCAUAGACGCAGAUUGCAGAUUUUUGUUGAUGCUAGCCCAGAUUUGCUUGCUUUUGAGACUAUUCCCAAUAAGCUGGAAGCCCAGGUUUGCUCCAUGCCCAUCUUAUAUCAUCUAAAUUGUGGUUUAAUGAUAUACUCACUCUUACCGCUGCAGUGAUGAUACCGCUAUAAAUUAUGUUGUUAUGCUUUGGUCUGAGUCAUAAAGUAUUUCAGCAAACAGCUUACCAUAUAUUUUAUAAUCUGUUUUGAAUUUAUAAGUUGUUUAUUUCAAGGGAUCGAGGUAAUUUGAUGACCAUCUGGUGUGAAUGGGGGAACCAUGGAUCAUUAGGUUUUAGUUUAUGAAUUGCAUAAUUCAUUAUCAAAAUUCUUUUAUGUCAAUAUUAUGAUUUCUUUUCAAAAUAAUAAUAAUAUAUAUUUUUAGUUAAAUCCUGUUCAAGGCUCCGACUUUAAAAAUAAUCCCACUUUACACUUCCAGAUAUUCUAUUUUAAUUCCUAACCCAACCAGAAUUCCGAUUUAGUUACGAAAUGGAAGAAAAAGUAAUGUUGCUGAUUAUUGUCAUGAGCAUGCCAGGACAAUUGUUUCGAUUGUUUUUGCUUGGUUUUCUGUCCUCUUUAUGAUCAUGCUUCCAAUCAAUCUUAACCUCUCCCCCAUUCUGGUCUAAAAAAUGUAGGCCUGUGUGGAGUUGCUCGAAGAAGAAAACAUCCAAAUUCCAUCCUGGAUCUGCUUUAGCUCCGUAGAUGGUGAGAAUGCACCAUCUGGAGAGAGCUUCGAGAAGUGCCUCUAUGCGAUAAAUAAAAGUGACAAAGUAAAUGCGGUUGGCAUAAACUGUACACCUCCUCAUUUUAUUGAAGCUCUGAUUACAAAGUUCAAAGAGGUAGGAACUAAAUCCCUUACAGUUGAGAUUUGAAAUUGUUUCUUUCAUUCAGUGGUUUUGAAACGAAAUUGUUCACUACAGUUAACAAACAAGCACAUAGUUGUCUAUCCGAAUAGUGGCGAGGUAUGGGAUGGAAGAUUCAAGAAAUGGUUGGUGAGUCAACUUAUUCCUCCCUCCCCCACUCUGAUAUUUCAUGGUUUGUGGGCCUACAUUAUGAUAUUUCCAUUUCUAAUUUAGUGUUCUGGUUUUGGUAGCCAUCAAAUUGUUUUGGUGAUGACAAAUUCGAAUCAUUAAGUUCAAGAUGGCGCAAUUUGGGAGCAACAUUCAUUGGAGGCUGUUGUCGUACAACGCCAUCUACCAUCCGAGCUGUAUCAAAGGUUUUGAAAGAAAGCACUUUUUAGUGACAACUGAUAAAGUUGACUGUCUGUAUCUGGAUGGGAUUUGUUGAUUAAAGGGAAAGAUUAUACUAAAGCGAGGGGCAAGUUGGUCAGUACCUUCAAAAUACUUUCUUUGGAAUAACUUUUAACCUUUUGUUUUUUAAUUUUUUUUUACUAGAUUGAUGUAUUACGGUUUGUACUCCAGACGUACUUGUUGUAGAUUUUUACUGUGUCAAACUCCAGGCUAAUUAUAGAAAAAUAGGCUUUUUCUCUUCCUAUUUAUGAUAUUCAAAUAAAUUGAGGAAAAGAAAAUUAUUACAUUUUCAGAGCAGAUUUUAUAUUUUAUUUCAAGGAAUGAUAAAAAUCUUAAAGAGCCCAUUCAGGACAAGGUAAACUUUGGAUACUGGGGCAGAACUUGGAAGUUUAUGAGCAGGAAAAUAAGAAGUGUCAGAGUUCAAAUCCCUUACUGGAUUAGGAAAUCUAUAUAUAUCAGAUUUUUUCCCAAUAUUUCCAAUCUUAGUUGCUUAUAGAAUACUUGCAAUUGUGCAUAAAUAUAUAUAUAUAAAAUCUCGACUGAUUUGAUCAGCUGGAGCUGGGCUGAGAAAAUCUUCUUUUUUUCUGGGAAAAGAUAAAAAGUGGAGGAACAAUUGUUUAUCCUCAAUGUAGACUGAGAAGAAGAAGCCGAAAAGUAUGGGAUUAGACAGAAGGUAAUGGAUAAUGCAAUUUGAGAUGGGGGGCCCUAAACGAGAUCUCAACUUUUAGUUGAACCAAAAAUAAAAGUGUCCAUUUCACAGAGAGAAAGAUGUGUGAUGGGUUGGUUUCGGAGUUUUCCUCAUCCCCUCUUAAUUAGAGUACCCCACAAAUUUAGGCAGCCAAUCAGAGAAGAAGCCUUUGGAUGAACUUUGAUCUUUCAACCAAUGAAGAAGUGGAUAAGGCCCUUCUGUAUGACCCACACACUGCAAGUCCCUUUUUUUAGUAAAAAAGUGCCCAAAAGUGCAAUUCUUUUCCAGUUGACACCCUUCUCUGUUGUGAUUUGUGAAUUUAACUGUAAAAGCGCAGUCUGUGGGGCAUACCCUUGGCCCCUCGAUGGUGUCCUGUUAAAAUAUUUUCUCGUGAACUUUUUAUUAAAAAACUCCAACUAGUAGAAAAUAUCAGACUCGGUCUCUAUGCACAGUGUUCAAUUUGAAGGCUGAGAGUUGAGUUUUCAAUACAAACUCACAUUCUCACCUGAGUUUCUAGUCUACUGACUCUUGACGUUUCUGGUUAUUUGAAUUAAAUGACAACAAGGAAAAGUGUGGAGAGAACAGCAGAGGGAGGCAAGACUGCCAGAGCCUGUGAUAGCUGUAUCAGCAAGCGGGCUCGGUGGUACUGCGCUGCCGAUGAUGCUUUUCUGUGCCAAGCUUGUGAUGCUUCAGUCCACUCCGCCAACUCCUUGGCACGUAGACACGAGCGAGUUCGUCUUCAAACUGCCUCCUUCAGACCCUCUUCAGACAACUCCUCUGCUGCCUCAUGGCACCAGGGCUUCACCAAAAAGCCACGGUCGCCUCGAAUGGGAAAGACUGCUCCGACGAGGAAACCAUUUCCACAGGUACCGGAGGUUAGUGCUAAAGAAGAAUCUGAAGAACAAGAACAGCUUCUCCUUCACAGAGUUCCUGUAUUGGGAGCUGAUUCAAAGGAUGGCAAUUUGGCUAGUUUUGUUGGGGAAAAAGAAAGCUCAAAUGGUUAUCUCUCGUAUGAUAUGGAUCCUGCUGAAUUCGCAGCUGAUGUUGAGAGUUUAUUGGGAAACUCGCUUGAUAAUGAGUGCUUUGAUAUGGAAGAACUGGGGCUAGUAGCUUCCAAAGACCACUCAUUGACAAACGAUGAUUAUUCUUUAAACAGCCAUGAAAUUAUUAAGAUUGAACCAGAUGAGAUAGAGGUAUUAACUCCGAUGCUCGGCAUAGAAGCCGAUACGAUGAGGGAGCCAUUUGAGCUGAACUUUAUGGACUUUGGCAGCAAUCCGACAACGUGCAGUGAGGAAGAUGACAAGAUGAUGAUGGAAGUUAUGGCAGUAGUGAAGAACGGUGAACUUGAGAUGGAGGAGACAAAGAUUGUUAAAAACAAAAAGAAAGUAUCAUUGAGUUUGGAUAGUGAAGCAGUGAUUAUAGCUUGGGGAAGUAGAGGAACUCCAUGGACAUCCGGUGAUCGACCGAAUCUCGACCUCGAUUAUUACUGGCCGGACUACAUGGUUUGCUCCCUUCCCUCUAUGAUAUUUAUUAGCUUAUGUUAUUGUUUUAAGAAAGUUAUUUCUAUAAUAAAUGCUGUGUCUGAAAGUGAAGUAUGUUUGUAUGAAGGGUACGUAUGAGAGUGAUUGUUACUAUCAACCUUAUGGGGAGUUUGGCAGCGGAAUUGGGCGACAAGCGGUAACCGGAGUCGAAGGAGAGAGAGAAGCACGAGUGUCAAGGUACAGAGAGAAGAGAAGGACGAGAUUAUUCGCAAAGAAAAUAAGAUAUGAAGUUAGGAAAUUGAAUGCAGAGAAGAGACCGAGAAUGAAAGGGAGGUUUGUAAAGAGAUCGUCAUGCUUUGCGCCACCACCUUUGCCUUUAUUUAAUCAAUGAAUUAGUUAUUAACAUAUAGUAUAUAUAUUUUCAAUUUGUGCGUGUUUGUAAUUUAAUCGCCAAUUUUGAUUUUGUACCCACUAAUUUUAUACAAUAAAUGCCUUCCAUCCAAAGUUAACGUCAACCCACCAUAUAUUCAUCGGAAAAUUGGAGCUGAAUUCCCUUUCUCCUACAUCCUUUGCCUCUCUGGACAACAUUAAUUGAAAGCUUUAUAGUUUAAUGUUAUCCCAGAAUGAAACCUCAACUAACAUUUCUUUUCAAUAACGUGGGUGGAGAGAUAGGGUUCAUACUACCACACUUAAUGUCACUCAAGUGUUUAUUUCUGUAUCUGACAAAAUUAAGUUGGUGUGAACAACCCAUCAAAUAAUUUGACAUUAAUCAGUUGAUUGGUUUCUUCUUUUUGUUUCUCUCUUGCCAAAUUGCAAAAACUACCUCCGUGUUUUAGUUACUUUUAACUCACAAACAUUUGUACUAAUGGAACAAUAUAGAUCCUUUACAUUUUCAAAAUUUGGAGCUAGAAAAGUUAAGAGUGUUUGACAUUCGACCCCCAAGUUAGAUGAGAAUGUAUGGUCUUCCAAUAUAGAUGAUGAGUGUAUGUGGACCCAUGUAAUAAAGUUCUAAAGACUUGUACCUCUUUCCAAAUUAUGUCCCAAUAUCAAUUUUGAUCUUUCCUUUUCAAAGAAACAAAAAUUCCAAUUUUAUUUCAAUUUUUUCGAAACCUCGAACCUUCCUUUAUAUAUUUAUUUUUCAUUUCAAUUUAGAUGGAUAAGGUACUUCAUAUGAUUGGUUAAAUUUAACUUAUUGAAUAAUGAAUGAGAAAAAUAUCUACUCCUUGAAUCUAACUAGAUAGGGUUAAAUUUAAAUUUAAACUUUUUUGAAACUAUGAAUUUACCUUUUGUAAAUUGAAUUACCACUCUCCAACAAAUAAAAGCACAUCUUCACAUACAAAUAUCUUCUUAUUGUAAAAUUGGAUAUUUGAUUUUCUCAUAUAAAAUUGUUGUAAUAAGAAAAGUAUACACACCCAAAAAAUCAACACCAUUCUAUUCUAGGACUAGUUGGUUGUUCAUCCACAGAAUUCGUAUCCAAUAGUGUAUUUCCAUUUCUUUCAUAGUCAUGGACCAUAGUUGGUGACCACUACUUAUAUUAAUUUUUAGAAUAAUAAUUAAGUAUAUAACAACAUUUUAAAAAAAAAUUAUAAAUAUAGUAAAAUCUAUAAAUGAGUAUCACAAAUAUAGUGAAGUUUAUUAAUAAAAAAAGUUUAUCACAUAUAGACUUUACUUAUGCUAUAUAGCAAAUAUAGCAUAAGACUUAUAUUGUUGUAGAAUCUUAUGAUUUAUUUUAGUGAUAUAGUUUGAAAAUUUUUGUUACAUUUGCAAUUUUUUAAAAAUGUUGCUAUAUAUUUAAUUAGUAUUUCUAAAAUCGUUCUGGAGUUAGUUUUAAUUUUUUUUUUUAGAAAUGUCGAAGUAGGAGUAAGCAUCAACAUUAAAAAAAUCAAUCGAAACCAAGCAAACUGACACUCGAUUGUCGAUUUUUAUGAAAAACAGUCGACUGUCAGUUUAAGAAAUAACUUUUGAAAAACCAAUUCAACACGUUCAAAUUUAUAUUAUCCUCCGUCGCUUCCCUCCAUCCAUUGUUGGUUAGUCGUCCGUUGGCUUCCCUCCCUCUAAUCACUUUCCUCUGGCUUUGGCAAGGGUUAUUGUCCUUUGUGUCCUUUCCAAAAAAAAAAAGGCAAGAAAACCUAAAUUAGAAACCGACUUGCAGUUCAAUCGAUUGAUUCAAGCUUUUGUUCAAAACCGCCCAGCCAGACACCCUAUGCCAAAGAACAUAUCAACUCGCAGUUCGGGCCGAUCAAGAGUUUGAACUCAUUGCCAACAAUAAUAAAAUGAGAAGUUGGAAUGGAUAACCAUUUCAGCAAUAAUAAUUAAGGAUAUAGCAAAACUUUAAAAAAAUUGCAAAUAUAGCAAAACUAUAACUGAUAGAUUUGUAUCGUUGAUACACUUCGUAUGGUCUAUCAGUGAUAGAACAAUAUUUACAACAUGUUGAUAGAAUCAAUGAUAGAAUUUGACAAAUUUUGAUAUAUUUACAAAUUUUUUAAAAUGUUGGUAUAUACUUAAUUAUUGUUAAAUUUUCAACUACUCCUAAUUAAAUUUAUUCUCGACCCAGGCCAUCAAGCCCAGAAAACUCGGCCCAAAAUGAAUGAAACCCGAAAGAGGGCCCAUAAGAAUUUAGAACAGUUAUACAUAUGCUUUUCUUUUGGUUGUUUUAUUUCAUUCAAUACAACUUAUUUAUAUCUUCUUUUCCCUAACUAUUAAAAAAGAAGAAAAAAAUACAACCUUGAGUUUACUAAUUUAUAUACAUUAUAUGAAUAUUUUUUUAUACAAAUUGGAGUAGGUUGGUCAUAGAAUGAAAAACUUGUAAACAAACCAUGGACAUCUGUGUUAUCUAUCCAUACAUCAUCUACGCUAUUGCUUUUAACAUAGAAAUUGAGUAUGAAAUUAAGGGAAGUCUAGAAUCUAUUGGAAAUAGAAAUUAAAAAUGAAAUGUAUACAUAUUUGUAAUGUGUAACAAGAGGUAAAUAGGACCAAUUUAGACACUAAAACUAUAUAAGUUUUAUUAUAAUGCUUUUUUACAAUAUAUUCUAUACAUAAAGAAAAAGAAAAAGAAAAAGAUGGAAAAUUUGCAAAGGCACAAUAAAUAAGAAUAACUGCCUUGUGCAUGGAAUACACAUACAUAGCCCUCAUCUUCAUCACAUUGCCACCUGUUCAGUGUCCACAAUCCAAUUCUUUUUCCAAAUUAUUAUUUUUUUUUUUUUUUUUAACUCUCUUAUAUAUGUGAUAUAAUUUUUAAUUCUCACUUUUUCUUCCCUUACUGAGCCGAUUUAAGAGUCAAUUCCAGCUCAACGUCGUCGGCCUUCUCAAACCGGCUUCCAUUGCUCACAUCCCGGCCCGCUUCAUCAAAACUAGACCCAAUUCCUAAGUCAUGAUCCGGCCCGGGUUUUGGUUUGGUUCGAUGAUCAGGCUUCUUGAACCGGCUACGACCCUUGACCUUGAGAAGAUCGCCGGAAGCAGCCAAAUUGGGUUCGUUACAAACGUGGCGAAUGUCGCAGCAUUUGAGGGAAAGGUUACCGUUGUUUGACGGCGGCGUAUCUGGUUCGACGUUCAUGGAUCCGUUCAAGACGGCGUCGACGGCUGCCUGACAACGUUCCCAGUCGCCGGAGCACAGCAAUCCAACAGAACCGUACACCGGAUUCACCAUCCGACCGCACGCCUCGUACAGCAAUGACUUGAAAAUGGCUAAGAAAAACACAACAGGAAGACAACUUCAAUGUUAUAUAUCACCAACAUGACAACAGUCUCCUCAAAUAAUUAAUGUGCUUUGAUUCAUAAACUUAGCAAAUCAAUGCGUUAUGAUUAAAAAUCCUACAAUAGUAAUUAAAGUAUGAAAGAGUUUUAGUACCAUGGAAAAAGUCUAGAUUAAAUCUACGCAUAAUUCAUUAAUAAUUCACAAUAACUUAUCAGCUUAAAUUUUUCAAUGUCCUCUUGAUUGUAUCUUCUGUAAAAUUUAAUUAUAUUAAUUGUUAUUUUAACAUUUAAAUAGUAUAUUUUUCAUAUUAACAUUAUGAAAUUUGUUAACGUCCAACCUGCUUUUCAAAAGAAAAAAAAACCCACCAUCCUCUCCAACAUUUUACAUAUUUUAACUUUUUUAGUUAUAUAUGUAUAAUAAAAUCAACGGUGAAAAGGGAAAAAAAGAGAGGAAGAAAAAGGAAAAAGAGAAGAAAUUAUAUAUACCAGGGCGGAGGUGUUGGGCGGCGGCGGUGAUGAGGUUGAAGAGGCCGGCGCGGCCAUAAAAUUUGGCGAGAAAAAUGGUGGCGUUGGCUUGAGAAUCGGAGGAGGGAAUCCAUUGAAGACAAGGUCUAAUUAUACAGUCGUCGCUACAUCCUUUACGAAGAAUCCGACACCCAUUGCAACUCAUUCUCAUGCCUAAUUAUUAUCUUUUUCUUUCUUAAAUUUUAUUUUCAGAUUGUUUAUAAAAGAAGUAGGAGUAAAGCAAAUUAAUGGAAGAACAAAGCAGAAGAGGGGUAUCUAUUUAUGAAUCUAAAGAAAAUGAGGGCAUUCAAGGAAUUUCCUCAUAUCAUCAAUUCUACUCCAUUGAGCCACUGAUUUUAUUGAUAAAUAAAUAAAUAAGUGAUUUUUGAAGGAGCUCUUCAAAGUGGGUUUUUGUCUUAUUAAAAAUUAAGAAUAAUAUACAUUUAUAUUUGAUGUAUGCAAUGCAAUGUAGUGUAAUGUAUGUGUAUUUAUGAAUGAGUUUUAAUUAUAAUGGGAGAAAUUAAAUAAAUAAUUAAAAGAGAAGCACAGCAAAGCAAGUAGAAAUGUGGAGGGCAUGCAGUGGCUAUGUUUUAUUCUCUAUAUUCAAAAAGAAAUUAAAAAGAAAGUGCUUAAUGGGAAUGUGAUGAGUGAUGAUGGGUUGUUGUGUUAUAUUAUGUGUUCUAGAAGAACACUACUCUUUACUCUUUAUUGCAUUUUACCCCCACAAAACCAAAAUACAAUAAUUUACAUUUACCAUCACCUUUUUUGCUUUCCUUUCUUCUUCUAUCUUAAUAAUUUACAUUGACUCAACCACUACUAUAUACUAUAAGUAUUAUAUCAACUUCCAGUUCUAAGAUGACUUGACUUUUGAAAAGUUGAUAUCAAAAUUUACCAAUAGAUAGAAUUCAAAAUUAUUGUUUCUCAGGGCUGAAAUGAAAUAUCAUAUCAUUUCGAUUUUUAAAAUGAUGAAACGUAUUUUGCAUGAUAUGUAAUUAUGAUCGAAAGAAAAAACAUACAAAAAGAAGAAAGAAAGUAAUAAAUUAGCUAAAGUUAAAGUUAUAUCAUAAUAAAGGAGAGACGACUUCGAAAAAUUGCAUGCUUAUACAAGUGUAUAAGCCUACGAGAUCAUGUAGCGCGUGUAGAAAAUCGUAACCGACUGCGAGCGUUUUAGAAUCGUGUACAAAUUAGGUUGGUUUAUUUAAUUGAAAAUGAGUAAAUAGUCCAUAAAUUGCGAAAUGCAGAGCCCUUGGAAUUUAGAAACCACUAAAGUAUGCAAAUGGUUUUUGUGGAAAUGAAUGGGAGAAGUUAAUUAAGUAAGAAGUGGUUUCCAUUUUUUGGGCGAAUGACUUUGAUUCUUUGAUUAAUGUGAGGAUUUUGUUGUUUGAUUAAACUUGAUAUUGUGACGUGUUGGUAGGAGAAGGCUUUAUUACAAUCAAUUCUUUUUUGUUGGAUUUGCUAAUUGAAGCAAAAUUAUAGUUUCAUGCCCUAAAUGCAUAUGGUCUCUUGAAAUAUAUGUGUGCAAUUUAGGUUUAAUUACCUUCGAAUUACGUGAACAAUGCUAAAUUUAGAAAAAGACUAAUCACUUUAUAAAGUAGAGUUGAUUUUUAUGUGGAGUUUGUGAAUAAGGCAAUGAGUUUUAGUUUCAUUAUUAGAAAUUGAGUAGUUGGCAAAAUAACAAAAAAACGUAUAUAGGUUUCCACCGACACUAGCGUGAUAUAUGCAUAAGGAAUCUUAAAGUUAAAUUAUUUUAGGUUUUUCUUUUGAAAAAGUAAAACUGACAUCAUGUUUUAACGUUACAAUACUUUUUGAGUUGUCUUCACCUGAUCAGUUAUUUGUCUAGUUGGUAUCCAUAAACGCACUCAUCUUAAGUUCAAAAAUAAGAAAAUGAAAAAAAAAUAUCAUAUUGUCCAUCUCUAGACAAAAAUAUUUGUUACUCGAGUUCACACAAGUAUUUUUUUUCUUCAUGUAUUCCAUUUUAGUUAUGAUCAUUACACUACUCGAGACAUAGCUAUAUCAUCUUCAUAUCUUUCGUUUCAAUUGAUUUGAACAUUUAGUUUCAUAUUAUACAAAGCUAGCAAACUCAUUCUCAUUCCGUCCCUUGUCUAAUUAUCUAUCCUUGCAAGAUUUUAAAGAUAAAAUUGACAUGGAUUAAGGCAAGAAUCCUUGAUUAGAAUUUUCUUUCAAGUAAAAGUUUACUCAUAUCAAAGAAAUUCUUUUGAAAACAUUUAAAUAAAUGGUUAAAUUUUAAUUUAAGAAAAAAAAUAUCUACGAACAUAAAUUUAAUACAGAUUUAAGUAGAAACAAUAUAGUAUUACAAUUAUCCAUGGAUAGCUCGAUCAAAAUAUUAUAUCCUUGAGUUCGUAGCAACAACAAAAAAUGAUCUAAUUAACUCGAGUAUCUUCCAUGAAUCUCGAAAUUAAAAGAUUCAAUCUCCUACAACGAUGCCUUUUCCUCGACACCCCCUUAUUCUCCACCUAAAGGGAGAUGCUGUUUGCGGAAAGAGUGGACGUUCAAAUUAAUGUUUGUAUCAAAGGGCUAUUUCAUCCAUUUUGGGCCGUUAGUUGGUUCGCUAAUCUAUCAAAAUGAGCGGCCGAAAAUAUGGUCCACUAAUCCAACAGUGGGCCUAUGGGCCGUCUACCCAAACCAAACCCCGUAGUCCAAAUCUUUUUGGAUAAAAUAGGAAUGAUAGGCCAUUCCUAUUUGUAUUUAGUUUCAUAAUAUAAAAUAUGCUAUUGCAUUUUGAAUAAAGGUAAUUCAUAUUCACACCUUACAUAUUUUAACUCUAAUAUUUAAUAUUCAACACUCCAACCAAUAUUAAUUUUAUAUACCUACCAAUCAUAUCUCAUAAAUACACGUCAACAUACCAAUUUAAUCAUUUAACAACAUUCACAAAAUUUAUUCUUAUCCACAUACUUAAACUUUUACGAAAAUUAGUCUUUUAAAAUUGUACGAGACUACGUGAUUUAAGAAAAUUUUGUGUUCAAGUCCUGCAUUGUUGUUACGAGUGUUAUUGAUAUAUAAUUAAAUUUACUUUUAAGUAGUUUAAGGAGAUUUGUAUUUAAGCUUUAUGCAAUGUUAUUUUGUGGAACAUUAUUCUUUUUCAUAUUUGAAGUCGGGUAUGUAAGUGAAAACUUUAAGCUAAAUUUACCAUUAUUUUAACAUUGGAGAAGUUGAUAAAAUUAGAAGAGAAUUAGGUGGGUCUAUUAUAAUAUUAAGUUACUCAUAAUUUAUGAGAAGACAACGAAUGAUUUUAUUAUCUUAAAACUUGGCUCAUUCUAAAAAUGAGAAAUGUGAAAACAGAAGGAAAAGAAAAGAGAGAAGAGAUUGAUUCCAAAAUCCAAAUUAGAAGGCGACAAAGAAAGCAGGAGGCUGCUGCUUGGCUAAGUGUAUAAAUAAUAUUGCAGCUUUUUCUCAACUUCUUCGCCGCGCAAUACGCGCCGUAUUCUCAUAUCUCGGUUUCUCUGUUUUGUUUUUUGCUUCCUUUUUUCCCCCCUAAACCCCUUUCAUCCUUCUUCUUCUUCUUCUUCUUUUUCUUCCUCUUCUUCCUCUUCUUCUUCGAACUUACAAUUUCAUCUCUCCUUUCCUAGCCACAAUAAUAAACCAGAGAAGUUAGUGAUGUGCACGUAGUCGGACAAGAAUGGACAAGGUUGUUUCCCGUCUCCGCCCGCUAAUUUCAACUCCCAUCGCCAUUCUUGCACAUUUCUAUGAAAUUCUCCACUUUUGUAAUAGUUACCAUUUGUGUUCUUUAAAACAAUGAUAUUUCAUGUGUGAUACCGAUAACAUAGUUAAGAUGUAAAAGAUUCACAAUUCUUAAAAGUUAAAAUUUCAAUAAUUAUUAUAUCAACAUACUCUUUAACUAAAAAAAAUGGAGUGGGGGCCUCCCUCCCUCCCUUAAUUGAAGUUAUUAUAUUUUGUUUAGGGUAAAGCUCCAGUGAUUUAAAUUGACAUUUUAAAACCAAAGCACCAUUAAAACAGAAAAAAGAUGCAAAGCUGACCAUUUUUAUAGUACUAAUGGUUUGGUACUCAUUCCUACCUUUGUGUUGUUUCUUUUAAUUGCUGGGCCUCCCUAUGUUUUGAAUAUUAUUUUUAUUGUAAGACAAUUAAAUUAUACCACAAACCAACAACCACAAAAGAUCUCCAUAUCUCUAUUUUCCCAAACCAAACAAACACUAAAAUCCAACCUCCAAUCUACUUCUUCUCAACCAUUUAUAUCUCUCAUUUUAACCUUACCUCUGUCUCCUUCAAACCCUUCCCAAUUUUUUUUUCAAUACAAAAUUUUGUUUUUUCUCGACAAUGGAAAGAAGAAUGAUGAAGUGAAAUAGUAUAAUUAAUUGGAAUACGGUGGAUAUCCAUGAUCCAUCUAUCUCAUUUAUGGUGGGUUGGGCCUGAUUAAUUGGGUGUUAAAGGCCCAGUAGGCCCAAUUAGGAGACAGGUCCCAAGCUCCAGGCUUCGGGUACUCAACGGAAAUGGAGGAAGAAUAAUAAUAAACACAUAUAUAUCUGCAAAAUGCCAGAUCAUUCAGAUUCGACAUUGAAAUGACAUAUUACACAUCACAUACAUUAUUUUAAUCUAACUUAAUACCCCCUUUUUCUUUUCUCCAUCUUACCCACUUUUUUACCUUCACCUACAGACAAUGGAUUGCCAUUUUCUUUGGUUUUGAAAUUGAACCAUCCUCCUAUUUUUUGUACACACACAGAACAACAGAACCGACCUUCUGCCUUUUGUUUGCAGUACAAUUUUUUUUAAAAAAAAUAAAACCCAGAAAGACAUGAAUCACUAACACACUUCACUACUACUACUGCACAUUGUUUUCUGUACUGGAAUGAAUUAAAAGAAGGAAUUUAUGAUUUCAUAUAUAAACAAAGUGAAGAAGUACCAAAAUAACCCCGGUUUUCUCUAUUGAAUCAUAGGAAAACGAGUGUAACAAAAACAAAGAAAAAAUUGAAGAGAAAAACGGGGGUAUUUUGGACGGGAAAGAGUGUAAAAUUGAAUAAUUAAUCCUACUAAUUAUGAAGAGGAUCUGGACAACUGGGUAUUUUCCGUUUACUGUCUUCAAAUCCUUCAUCAUGGCGGUGACGAUCGAAGGCUCUGCCGUUGAAGUAUUUUUGGAGAAGAUCAUUUUUGGCGUUGUCUUUUUCUUCACCAGACAGUGAUUUAUCCGCUGGAUGCGGCGGCGGAGGAGGAGGAGGAGGAGGAAAAAUCCGUGAUGCUCUAGCUUGACAGUGACAACAAACCCAAAUCUGUGACACCCACAGGAUCAAAAUUAGUAUGGCAAAAGCAGAGGUGGAGGAAGAGGAGGAGGAAGUGGUGAUUCUUCUGUUAAACAUGGUGGCUUUGCCGGCGGCCGGAAGAAAAACCCACAAAGAGAAAAAAAAAACAAAAAAAACUUGAAAUAUUUCAAAAACACUCAAAUCCGUCCUCUAUCUGGGUGGACAUGUAUGAAUGUCAUAGUAAAUUGAGAUUGGUAUAAAAAAGAAAAAAAGAAAAAAGAAAUAGAGAGGAAAUUGUAUUGUGUAUGGAAAUGGAUUUGAGGCUUAGGUUAGAGAUAUAAGAGCAAAGGAAAAGACGGCUAUAAUGGGACUCAGAGAGAAGAGAGAAAGAGAGUCGACAAUGGCCCACGUGAUGAGGGGAAUAGCAGACUCAAAUGGUCCACUUUCAUAUAAUAUGAUAAUGGCAAGUUAGGUUUGACUCCUGUUUUCUCUAUUUAUUACUACCUUCAAUUUCCUCACUCUAAUAACUUAACACCAACAAAAAAAACACAGUGUAAUUUAGCAUGGUUUUGCUCCCCAUAUUUCAAUUUUCUAACUAUGUCGGUGCUAAUAUUUAUAUUUAUAUAUAAAGACUAAGAUUCCAAUAAACGUGACACAUUGAAGCCACGUAAGGUUUUGUUAUUGGAUGUCUCGAGUAAUUAGGAGACAAUUACAUCGCAAACUCUUUCUUCCUUGAUGAAUGGAUUGCCAAAGGCAUCUCUAUAAUUUCUGAUGAUACAACAGUCAUGUGAGUUCUUUGGGACCUCCCAAUUGGUCUCAUUUCUACCAAACAUUUUAAUUUAUGACCCUAUAUACAUAUAUUAUUAUUAUUAUUAUAAUACUGAACCUUUUCGUACUCCUUGAUACUAUCAAUAUAAGAUUAUAAUUGGCUUAACUUAAAUUAAAUACUUUUUGUAGAAAAUAGUUGUUCAAUAUUUUUCCCCCUCUUUUUCAUAGAGGGGGCCACAUAAAAGUAUCACCACACCAUUCUAAAAUUUUCAAAAACAUGUUUUGAAGUGAGAAAACUUUUAAGGUAGUAAUUAUUAUAAGGUGAAGGUUCUGAAUAAAAAGAAGAAAAAAAGAACCCCUUGCACAACCUACUAGUAUGAUUCAAUUUUAUGUGGAUUAAGGUGUGUGUGUAGAUUAGCAGGUGAUAAAGAUAAUUAAUUACGCAUGCGUUUGUGUUUAAUUAGCAUCUACUUUUUUUUUUAGAAAAAAGAAAAAAGAAAAAAACGACAGGUAAUUAAUUAAAUAGUUGUUUUAUUGGGUAACGUAAAGACAUGGACUCGUAACUGAGAAAAGAAAUGGGCAGAGGGUGGAUUGAAAAUGAAAACAUUUGUAGUGUGGAUGGCAGAGAAGGGGAGGAGGGUAGGCAUGACUCAUGAGAUUGAAUAAAGAGUGAUGAAGGGGAUAUGUCCCACACAAAGAACAGAGCAUCCAAAAGGGCUAAAAAAGAAAAAGGGACCCAUUUAUCAAUUUCAGAAAAUAAAAUAAGGGUCAUCUUGAAUUUUGAGCCCCAUGCAGGCAUUAAAGUUGAGCAACUUUUGCUUCUUAUUUGGACUUUGUACUCUUCUUCUGUCCUAUGACCUUUAAUCCUCUUUGGGUGUCUUUUUAUUACCUUUGCCUUUUUCCUUUUGGCCCUUUGGGGCCUCUUUUACUCUUCUUCUCCUUCUUCUCCUUCUGCAAGAGAAAAGGCAAAUGUUAAUAAAAAGGGGGGGUUGAAAACAGAAAAGCAAAUGACUUGGUCAAUAUUGAAUUUCAACCUCUUCAGACUUGACAGCUUCUAAAAUUCCAAUUACAUUCUUUUCUUUCUUUACCUAUUCACAUCAAAUUACAUAUACACAACACUACAAGCUUAGUUUUCUUUUAUAUUUAACCAAAACUACAACACGCGCUGCCUCUGACUCCAAAAAGUAACAAACUGCCUGAAAUGUUCUUUGCUUAAAUUUUAAUCAACCUACUCCUUCCAAUCCCCACCAAUAAAGCUAAUAUAUGACAGUCUACUGUUAGUUAUAUUAUAUUUAUAAUGUAAAUGAUAGAUUUCAUUGAUAUUAUAUACAUAGUCUUCUAAAUUUGGCUUAAUUACCACUUCAAAAGCUCUUGGGAACACCAUCAAUUUAUACGCACCCUGAUCAUACUCCAUAAUAUAUAAUUAGAGAAACAGUGCCUACAAGUUAAAUUAAAGGCGCAACAACAGAGAUACAAAUCAUUAAUAUACCCAGAGGCCAGAAGUGAAGGUGAUGGGGUGGAUUUUAAGCAUAGGUUGCCAUAUUCUGACCACUGGAUUUGUACGACUUGCGUUAGAAGAUAAAUUUGCUACUGUAACCUUUGUGAAGUACGUUUAAUAGUGAAUUUUUCAGAAGCAUGGCUGCAAAACUUCAAUUUGAGACCAUGAACUAAGCCCCCAUCAAUAAAAACACCUUUAGGCAGUGUUUUACUUGAGAUGUUCUGUGCAAAAAUCCCUCCCUUGUACUGGGUAAAUUAGAUAUGCAUAAUUAAUUGAAUAUGUACCUGCAAUUACUCAAGCUUCUACAACCAGAUAAGUCAUCCUGAAAGAAGAUUUCGAUAUAAAAAAUUGAACUUUCACGAAUUGGUUGAAGUUUGUAUUCAAUGACUGUGCACCCAAAAGAUUCUAAAUUCUCGAGGAGGUUUUAAUUUUCCAGAAUUGUUCGCUUGGCAAUCGUCACCAGGAUAAAGUAAAAUGAAGUACUGGACCAGACAUGAUUUUUUUUUUCAAGGAGAGAAGGAUCUGCCAAAAGAUAUGCACAUUGUAGCAUUCCAUAAGUAGUGAUUCACUAGUGAGGAGAAUUAAGGAAGAAUCAAUUACAUUACGGAUAGCAACAUCAGAGAUUCAGAAUCUUACGUAAAAUAGGUUCUGUUCACCUUUUCAUGUCUAUACCUGGGUGCCCUGUAUCAGAUACGAAUAAGUGAAACUGAUGCUGUACCCAUUUUAAAGGCAGAAAUUACUAAUUGAUGGUGAAACUCAAAUUCAAAAGGAAAUAUUGGAAGUUUGAAUCGAAAUGAUUUUGUAGAUACAUUUCUAUGCAAGUAAUUGAUAAAAUUAGCACUUCGGCCUGUUAAACCGAACGGAACUUUAUUAUACUUGGAGGGUGGCACAUGGAAGAAUUUAUUAUCACUCCCAAAAAUAUCAAUAGGGAAUAUGCCUUUAUUACUUGAUAUAAAAUCAUCAAUUUUUACAAGUUUGAGCGUUAUUUCUAAACCAUGGCUAGAGCUGAUUAUAGUAGUUUGAGGAAGACGAAAGGACUAACUUGUACAUAUACACUGGAAUGGAGGACAAAAAGAGGGGACAUUUAUCCUUUAAUAUCACUCUUCUAAUCACGUGAUACUGUCCAGGCCAUCCACCUCUCUAGCAAAGGCAGGGUCACAUAUGAAACACAGUGGGGGGCCUUCCUAGUACAACACAAGAAAUCAAAUAACAAAAUGCCAAUUGAAAUUUUUUUGCUUAGGCAAAAUGUAAGUUCAUUAAGGGUUGAUUAUCUUAUAAAGGAACUUUAGCUCCAUCUGAAGCAUGGCUAUUUAUUUGUAAUGAAGAAAGAUUGUAACUUUUGCCUGCUUAUCAAUAUCAGCACCUAGAUCUACAAAGAUCCACCCAAUGGAUUCCUGGGUCCUGGAGUUCUAGCCCCAAAGCAUACUCAUUAUACAAAGAAAUAUUUAUUAGUACGUAGUGUACGAUUAAAGCCAAACGUAACUCAAGAAGUUAAGAUGGACUAACCACUAAGUAAGUGCUCUUCCCAGUCACAAAAUAGGAAUUCGUUGGUGCCAAAUCAAUCGCAUAACUAAUAAUGGUAUUCCAAAAAUUUCUGCAUUUUUAAGUAAUGAGAGAUCUAAUUCUUUACCAAUUUCCUAACUAAUAACGAGUAGGUUUUCCAAACUUAGCGCAAGUUAUAGCUUUUUGACUUUUCUUUUUUCUCUUUCGUAUUGGGACAAAUUGAAUUUUUUAAAAAAUAUUUUCAUCUAGAUUAGAGAGAAAGGAUUAGUUAGUGAGAAACCUUCACAUAAGUGAAAGAGAGAGUGAAUUUUUCCUCAUGCAUCAGAGUGAUUUAAAGCGCUAAUAAAUGGAUAAAAGAAACUGCUAUAACAGCCAUGACAAACAAAUACAACUUGAGCAACAGAAUCUUUAACGAUAAAAUUAAUAUUGAUUCACAUGGGUUACAUAACAGUAGGUUCUAAGCUUUUGGAAAAUGAUGCAAAAAGGUCUGUAUUCUUUUGUGCGAGCUUUCUCCUAAGCCUUUCUCUCUGAUAUAUGAGCUUCAGCAGACAAGACAGUAAUAAAAGUUAAUAUAGGUUUUGAGUGUUUAAUUAAAAAGUUGUGUCCCACUUACUUUAAUAAGAAACAAUUAAUUGAUUUGGGGUAAGGGAAUUUUUGUAUGAAAAAAAUUAAGAAUUAAGAGGAAAUUAUCAAGGAACCCUAGAAGGCUAUAAAAGGGUAAGAACCCUUCCUAGAGAAGGAACCUAAAAAAAGCUUGGAAUUUGGCACAAACAUAAUGAACUUUCCAAGCGGAAAUCUAGUAGAUAUAAAUGUCAAACAUGACCUAACUUUCAAGCCUCCAUCAAAAUUCUCUUAUUUCUCUCUUUCAUUUGAACAUCCCAAAAUUUGCUGACUUGGAGUGAUAUAAUUCGAUCUAACUUUGAUUCUGAAACAAGAGCCACGUCUAUGAAAUUGAAAGAACGGCCCCCAUAAUCCUAAAACUGCCUGAACAACAAAAGAAGUGCGAAAUUUAUAGCAUGUUUGGAUUGAUUAAUUGUAGGCCUACUUUGUUAAAUAUACAUUCCACCAAAAACACUAGAGAGUAUAAAUAACUGACCCCACUAUUCAAAAGUUGUCUCUACUAUUUCAUUUAUGUAUUCAGAAACUAGUUAAUAGAAUGAAGAUUUUUUCUAUCACCGUAAUCUUUGUCCUAAUCUUCUCCUUCAUAGUUAUUAAGGUCCAAAAAUCCAAACAUUCGUUAAAAGAAGUUCAAGAAUGUUAAGCCAAUAACGAUUCCCCUAUGUCUGGAAUAUGCUCAGUAUACUCACGCUAACAAAAAGCAUCAAGAAUUUGGUAGAAUGAGCAUAUUUUCUCAACAUAUAGGUUACUCAAAAAAUAAUCUACGAAGCCGAAGCUUAAGAAACUAAUGCUCACACGUAACGCUAUAUAAUGAACUCCAACGCAAAAUGUGAAACAUUAUCCAGAAAGAAACAUUGGAGGAAUGUAAACUUCAAACUGAUAGUUCACCUCAUCAUAUAUAUGUUACAAAAGAAUGAUAUUGUAAAACAGAGAAUUGAGAACAAAUGAAAUAGAAGAAUGUGGUACGUACGCGGUUUUGCAAAUCCUUUGACGUCAUUUUAGUUCAAAAGUUGAGUGAAGGAAGUGAUGAGAGCUGAAAGCAGUUCUCCAUCGGUGGACAGUAAUGGCCUAUCAACUAAAAUUUGAAAUUAGCAGUGUAGCUUGAACGAAGAAAUGAAGAUUGGAUCCUUCAAUUGCGUUCGUCGUUUCAUCUGGGCCAGGGAGGAAGCCUGACCCGAAUAUCACUAUUUUGGCCCACUUUUUUUUUUUUUAAUUAUAGUAUUGUUUGAAAUUAAAAGCUUAGAAGAAAUAUGUGAUGGUGUCUCGUUUGGAUUAGCUAUGCAUUGAUCAAUUUUUAAAUUUCAAUUCGUAGUCUCUAACUUGUGUCCCUAGCUCACUUAAGUAACAAAUGUAUGAAUUGUUGAAGUCGAAAUUCAAAUAAUCGAAAUGCAAUUGGCUUCCAAGUGAUAUUAGUAGUGAAUUUAUUUUUAGAAUGGAGAAUAACGUGGCUCGUUACAAAAGACUAAAUAUGCACAGUAGAACUUGCCACACAUGUAUGUCUUGUUUCUUAUACACAUGCUUAUGUCAUAGAGUGGAAAAAUGUGAAAGUUAAAGAGUUUAAUUUAAGGUUAAGAUUAACUUGCUUUAGAUGGAGUUAUAAUAAUGUAUUUAUAAGUUAAAUAAUGUUGACCUAAGUUUUUUUACGUUCCAUUUGAAAACUCAAUUAUCUCAUGAUUUGAUAGUACAAACUGUAAUAUACUAAAAGUGUCGUUGUAUGAUGAUUGGAUCCCUAACCGAAUUGAAGGAAAGGUUAGCACAAAUGUCUUACUUUUCCCUCGUGCUAUUUAGGCUCCUUGACCUUGAAUGCAAACUCUAAGGACAAGAAAAAGUUGAGAGUUGGAAAGUGUAACUCUCCUCCCUUAGCCCAUCAUAAUCUUGUUUUGGUUCUAGUCAAGAAUAUUGGGUUUACCUUUUUAGUGAAAAAAUAUAUUAAAUGUUGAUAUUAAGUUUUAUUCAAAGAUAGAUAUUGCAUGACUAGAUCAAUUAGAUUCAAUCAAAAUAAGGAAGAAAAACAAUAGAAAUUAGUCGUAAGAAAGUAACAUCAUCCAUUAGAUUAUGGUUUAAUUAAAAUUCAACGAAAAUAACACACAUGCAAUUAGUCCAUACGAGUAAAUUAAUUGCUAUAACUUAGAUGUUACAACUACAAUUAAUUUACAAGCAAAUGAAGAAACCAACAUCGUUAUCUAGUUUAGUAAAUGAGAGGGCUUUUAAGGGUACGGGUACGAACUUUAUACCUCUAUUUGUAAAACCAAGAAACAACCAACUAGGUAUUGGUUUAGAAUGAAGACAAAAGUGGUAAAAUUUGAACCAUUUAUACAACGGGCGAGGACAGUAUUUUAAAAUGGGAUAGUUGUAAAUUUAGCAAUUAAUUAAGUAUAUAGCACAAUUGUAGAAAAUUUGUAAAUAUAGCCAAAUUUGUUAAAUUCUAUCAAUGAUAUAAGUCUAUCACUGAUAUACCAUAUAAAGUCUAUCAGCGAUACAAGUCUAUCCGUGAUAGUUUUGUUAUAUUUGUAAUUUUUUUAAAAUAUUGUUAUAUUCUUAAAUAUUAUUGCUAAAAUAGUCCUUCAUUUCAAUUUUCCAUUUUAAAAUAAAUGUGGUAAGGAUUAGAUAGCAAACAUAUCACAUAGCAUGGAGUAUUUGAAAAAUGGGCCUUGUUUGUUUUUGUAGAAGGUGAAGUAUGGGCCUCAGAAUCCAAAGCCCAAGCAAGGGUGAUGUAGAUCUUGCCCAUCUUGCAUCAGUCUCUCUACAAUAAUGUCGGUGGUCCACGUAACUCAUCGACGUGACUCAUAUCAUUGAUUGAUUAAUCUAGAUUUAGUUUAGUUUAAUUUGAUUUAAACCCAGUCCAAUAACUAUCCUCACACAAAAGGAAAAGAGAAAUGAAGAAAAAAAGAAUGAAGAAGAAGUGUAAUGGUAAUGUUAAAAAGACAUGGGAAGUGAAAUAGCAGCAAUGCAUCUGAGGGAGGAUUAGGAUUAAUUAAGUAAAUUGGGAGCGUAAUGUGAGGACAAAAGGAAUAGAAACGGGAAAAAAAUGUCAGCCCCAUUCCGUUGAUAGAGAUAAGGGUAAUGGGUUGUUGCCACGUGUCAAAAGGAAAUGGUGAGAGGAAGUGAUAAGGUUUGAGAUCUCAACUAUGUGAUCUUAAAUUCAAGUUUUUUACCAACUAAAUUUACGACCACUAAAUUGGUUUGUGAAUGGAUAAAAUGAGGAUAGUAAACAGCUUAUAAAUAGACUACCAUUUCACAGUGCAAUGCCUCUCAGACUCAACACCAAGAGCUUCUUCAAACUACUCUACUAGCUAUUAGUAAAUCCUUCUAAUCCUCCAAGAAAAAAAAGAGGCAUAAAUGGCUUCAUCCAUUCUCUCAUCCGCCGCUGUUGCCUCUGUGAACAGUGCUUCCCCUGCUCAAGCUAGCAUGGUAGCACCAUUCACUGGCCUCAAAUCUUCCGCUGGUUUCCCCAUCACUCGCAAGAACAACGUCGACAUCACCACUUUGGCUAGCAAUGGUGGAAAAGUUCAGUGCAUGAAGGUAUCAAAUUUCAAUUUAUAUAUUAAUUAAUUCUAUAUUUGUUUGAUUUAAUGAUUAAUUAUUUCUCUCUUUUUUUUUAUAAAAAAUAAAAAAUUAGGUGUGGCCACCACUUGGAUUGAGGAAGUUCGAGACUCUUUCUUACCUGCCUGAUAUGAGUAACGAACAAUUGUCAAAGGAAUGUGACUACCUUCUCAGGAAUGGAUGGGUUCCCUGCGUUGAAUUCGACAUCGGAGUAUGGUUAUUUUUAUAUUUAUUUAAUUUAAUGGGAUUGAAUAAUUAAAUUAAUUAGUGUUUUCGUGAUUAAUUAGAGUUUCUUUUUGUUUUUCUUUUAAUUUUGGCAGAGCGGAUUCGUGUACCGUGAGAACCACAGGUCACCAGGAUACUACGAUGGACGUUACUGGACCAUGUGGAAGCUCCCUAUGUUUGGCUGCACCGACUCAUCUCAGGUGAUUCAGGAGAUUGAGGAGGCUAAGAAGGAAUACCCCGACGCAUUCAUCAGGGUUAUUGGCUUUGACAACGUCCGUCAAGUGCAGUGCAUCAGUUUCAUCGCCUACAAGCCCCCAAGAUUCUACUCUUCUUAAGUUCCAUCUGCUGAGGCUUUCUUGAGGCGAAUUUCCACCAUUUGCCUUUUUUAAAGCUCCAUCACUUGGGUGGUUUCAACCAAAUUUCCCCCCUUUAAUUUUUUUCUUCUCUCUUUUUUUUUCCUUCUUAUUUUUCCAUUUUACGUUUUGGUUUGUCUGUUGAAUCCCACUAUGUUUAUUUCCCCGACUUUCCAAUUCGAAUUGGAAUAAAUGAUGCUUUGAUUUGUUCUUCAAUUAUCCUAUCAAUCAAUCGGUCCUGUUUGCAUCUUUCCUCAUGGAAAUUCAAUCUAUUUCCCUAUGAAAAUGUUCAAUUGGGGUUUGUGUUUGUGUGAUGGAUAUUGAUUCGUGGUAACGAUAAGGUUUAAUCAAUUUCAUCCACUCAACCGUUGUCUUCAUUAUUCCCUUUUAAAUUCGCAUAAUUCUCCAAAGAAAGAAAACAAAAACCAGUUGGGCCAAAUGGGCCGCUUUCUCGAGUAAUUAUCUCCAACGACUACUUUUUCCAUCGUGGAUGGAGAAAGGGCCACGUGUAUUCUUCUUAAUGGGCUUUACUUAGAGAAAUAUCUGGCAGUGGCCCAGCUGAAAAUUGACACGUAACCUUCAUGAAAAUUACUUCUCUCUUCGUCAAAAAGUGGGAACGCUUAUUGUAUAUCUUUUGGUCGUAAACUUUUCAUCUACUCAUAUCAUAUCUAAUCCCACUCUCUCUUACCUUUUCAUUAGUUGUUUCAUUUCAUGUUAACAUCGACAACCUUUCAAAUAUCUCAACAAUUUAAUGAUAUAAAUUUGUCCACUUUCAACAUAAACUAUAACUUGUUUCGAUAAAUAUAGUUGUCUUUACUCGUAUAUAUAUUAUCGUCAAUUUAUCAACCGUCAAUAUGUAAGCAUAAUCAUAAUUCAAUCAUGGUCAUAUAAUUGUUGAUAAUAAUAUCUUUUGAUGAUAUAGAGUUGAAAAGCAAAUUAAUGUAUCGAUGAAGGGGCAUAGAGGAUGGAGCAUAAUUAUCAUCCUAAGUUUAUGCAACAAUUUUUUUAAUAAUGUGGACCUACUAGAUGCAAAAAUAUAAUGUCAAUAUGUACUUGUCAAAGUCCCUUGUCUUCAAGGAAGAACAAACCUCCAUUCAUUGAAAAUAAAGGAAAACCUUACAUUUUCAAAAUCAACCAAUCAGAAAAAAAAAAAAUGGACGCAUAAGUAUGAUAGGACAUUAUGGAUUCAAAUGGUGAAUAAUAGAAGCCAUCAAAAGUAUCUUAUCAUAGAAGAAGAAGUAGUAGUGAUACACCACUCUCAUUUCAAGAAAAUUAAAGAUGCUUUUUUUGUAUGGUAUAUUAGAAGUGGAAAUAGAUGUAUAAACAAUGACUUUUCAGGGUAAAAACAAUUUAGAAUUCGUCUAUAUUGAUUUAAGAAAAAAUAUUUUUGAAAAAACUCGUCUUUAUUUAAUUUAUUUUGAUCAAAUUUGUAUAGAAUAUAUUUUAUAAGUUAUUUUAAGCGGUUGUCAAUGACACUCUAAUUUUUUAAAAAAAACGACUUAAUUUAAACUCACAGUUAAAAAAUAUUUCAAACACAUCUUUAUUCACCAUGGAAAUGUUUGGAAAAUUAGAUAUAAUCAAGAUUAUUAAAAAUCGAAAUAAUGUUCGAAUAACAUGCCAAAUUAAGAUAAUAGAAACACAGUUUAAUUGAAAGUUGUUGUUGCAACAAAAUAAGUUUUUAACAACUAGUUCAAAAAUUAAAUCCAAACAUCAAUUUUUUAUUAUAUUACAUUCUAUCCCAAUGCAAUUAUGGGUGUCCACUAUCUAAACACCCUCUAAAUUGUGUAUGAGUCAGUGUAAGGUUAAAUGUAUUGAUUAUAUAAUAAAAGUAUAAUAGUUGAAUUUAUACCUAGGUUGAUUUUUUAAAUGUACUUAAAGAGGAAAAAAAAAAAAAAAAAGAAAAACUACAAAUGAAUUUAGAAUCUUGGAAACUACCUUCCUACUUAAUGAAAAAAUUUAUUUAUUUGAGAGUGAAAAAAGUUAACUUUAUUUUGGGUUGUAUAAGUCGUGAUAAUUUAAGAAAUCCUAUUUUUGACAACAAAAAACUGCAAAGGAAGGGUGGAAAAAAAGGAUAAUAAUAAGGGUAUAUUUGUAAUUUUGAAAUAAAGUUAAAUAAAAUAAAUGAACAUUUUGUUUUAUUAUUGUGAGUAAUGACGAUUUCUAUUUUGGUGUUCACAAAACUAACAUUCAAGUGGACGAAAAUGACAUGAUGGAACGCGUCAACCUCUUCUGUAGUAAUCGAUAGAUUGGAGAUUUUGGUCCACAAAUAAGGAUAGCCGUCGUAAUUAACCACCGGCUCGGAGACAAUUCAGAGAUUUCAUUAACCAACCCUUCCCUUUCCCCCCCAAUUGGGUCAUGACUUUAGCCUUACACCCACCUUUUCAUUCAACCCACGAUGGGCUUCAAUUUCCACCAUACCAAUAGCCCAAACUUGUUCUUUUGCCCAUGGUUCCCUAGUUCACUUCUAACAACCCACCACUUGAUCGAAUCCUUGUGAAUAACAUGAAGAAACUGUACAAAUUUGGGAAAUCCUGGAUUGAUACUACUUUUUUGUAUGAUACUACUUCUCAGUACAACAAAUGACAACAUUAACUCUCUUAGUUAUUGGAAAUUUUAAUGAUUUACCAUUUUCACAAGCUUAAUAAAUUGAGUGUUCUUAAAAAGAAAAGGUUAAUCCAUGAGAGUUUUUGUAAAGUUUUUUUUUCUUUUUGUUUAUCAUGUAGAAAAAGGCAACACACUAGACAACUAUAAAUGUGUGUCACGUGGUAAAUUUAAACAUCAAAAGAGUAGGUUAGUAAUGAUCAAAUCAUUCUAAUAAAUAACACAAUAUGUUAGAUGACAAAAUAAAGACGUACGUUACACAGGAUCAAUUUAAACAUGGAAGCAUGUUGAAAAAUACACCAUGCUGAUACCAAUUAUCUGUAAACUCAAUGAUCUGAACCGACCUGCGUAUGUAAGCAGAAUUAUCCCUCAUCCAGAAGCUACGCUUUUUGUGAUAUAAAUAAUGCAUAUUUGUGUAAGAAGUUAGAUAGAAUUUUGAAUGGGUCCUCUAUAAAAUUGGUGUGAAGUAAGCCUUUUUGCAGUCCUAGAAACAAGCGCCAUCUCUACUUUAUGGAUUCCAUCGAACUUGGUGAGCAGAAAGGGACAUUUGAUGCUGAAUGUUAUCAGUUAUUGUUUAAUAAUUUCUAUGAAGUAACUAAGCUUAAUUGAGUUUAUUAAAUGUCACAAAGCAAAGCAUCUUCUUCGCAUCAAUAAAAUUGUGUCAGAAUUCAGAAAUCAAUACUCCAAUAAAGAGACAAGCUCUGCAACAAAGUUGCUUUGAACAUCAAAGAAAGAGAGAGAUGUUUAUUCCACCAACAAAGUUGCUUUAAAAAAAGCUGAGAGGUCGGCGGUACCGUGAAGAUGCCCUGAAAAAAAAGCAAAAUCUAAUUCUUCCAUCCAUAGCGUUAUGCCCAAGCAAAUAUGCAAAAGGAAUAGUGAAUCGAAGGUAUGGAUCUAAGAGUGCCGCUAGAGUUGAUAUUUGCUGAUCAAGUUGUUUGAAGCGUGUGUAUCAAAAUUCAAGGAAUUUCAACAGGUGCUGUUAGAUCAAAAGCAAAUACAAACCCAGAAAGAUGAACAAAAUCACAAUCGGGAAAUAUGGUUGUACAAUAUUCACAUCUUGAUGACUUCAACAAACUCGAGUUCAAGUUCUUGCAAUAUGUACAGAUUGGCUCUUUCUCACUUGGAACUUUCUAAUGAAAAUUUCCUCAACCUUAAGACUUCUAAUUACAAAAAUAUAAUACAAGAGGUUGACAUCCACUCAUCGCAUUCUUCUCACCUCAAAAGAAAAAAAAAGGGAAAGGAAAAGCCUUAAAAUACACAGCUUUAGUAUACAUGGGCAAGUUUUUUAUUUACAUUUACAAAGAACACUUCAAACAUAUUCACAAAAAGAAGGGAAAUUGUAAUUGUAACCUUUCUUCUCUUGAGAGACUCAACUCUUUUGAAUCUUUUUUUUUCUUCUAUUUGUAUUGGGAAUCUUACUUUUCUUGAAACUGUAAUACGAAGAUGACUUUUAUCUUUGUAUUUUAGGCGAAAGCAGGGAUGCUGCAAUUUUGCCUAUCCCUAUCAAGGCAAUCAAAACCCUCAAUCCUCACCGUUGGUUUGUUCCCAAAACUCGCCCUUACGCGGCCUCCUUUCCUGGAGGAUGUAGACGGCGACAACUGACCGGACGGUGAAGCAAUCGGAGUAAAGGGGAUGAAUUUUUCUUCCCUAAAUCGAGCAUCCUGAAUCAAAGGGUUGGCUACUCUGCUCGGCGGCGACCCACAUAAAAACGGGGGCGACGAAGCCAACUGCGUAAACGAUUGGUCCACGCUGCAACCACCCUGUUUCAUUAACAACCACAUGAUCAUCAAUAAAUCAUUACAAAAUUUGAAUGAUGAUGAAGAAAAUCAAAGGAGAACAGAGGAGGUCGUACCUUCGUCAGGAGGAAGUCAAGGAGAUCCGGUCCAGCUGCCAUGUCGAUUGGCUCAACUUGGUGACUGAAAAAUCAGUUCAAGAAGAAUUAGCACUUGAUAACAAAAGGGGUUGUAAUAAAAUAAAGAAAGUAAACGAUGAAGAACCUUAGAUUCCACCGGAGGGAGGUAUCGGAGUGGGCGUUGACGGUGAGACGACGUGGUUUAGGGCAAACAAGUUGAUCUCUGAAGUCAGAAAGGGGACAAGGAACAGAGGUUCUCAUCUCCUCGUGGCCCGAGAAGGCGUUUGACAGAAUGGCGCAGUGAUUCAUAUUUGGUGUUGGGUUAUUUCAAGGGACAAAUAAUAAAAGCUGAGAGAGAGAAGAGGGAAAACCAAAAACAUAUUAAAUAAAAUCAUGCUCGCGACAAAUGGCACCAAAACAAUCGUAUGAAAGCGGAAAGAAAGGAGAAGAAAAUUCAAAGUUUGAUUUUGUCCCCUAAGCAGAUCGGAAUCCGUUCGGCAAUUUCCUCAAACAAUUAAAUAUAAAUAAUUAAAAGUUAAAAAAGAACGGACAAAAAGUUAGCUCAUUAGUUGGCAUGAAAUGAUCCUUUCUUUCACUAACUUAACAUUAUUAAAUACUAAGACAACACCAACAGAUGUUAUCCAAAGACUCGCCACUUUUAACCCCCCAAAAAAAUAAAGAAAUAGAAACAUAGAUCUAGCAGAGGAAACAUGGAAAUUUUGAAAGAAAGAAAAAACCCUAAAAACCGGUUAAACCCAUUCAUGAAUCAAUCAGUUCCGACCUAAAAAUCCAAAGACACUUAAACUGGAAACAUGGGUUCGCUCCGUUCACCCACCAAAGAGUUCAGACUACAAUUAAACCAUCUACAGCCACAAACAACAUAUAAGAUUUAACAGGAAUCAGAUAGGCAGAUCCAAGCCAGAGAAGCAAUAAAAAAAACAAGAGAAACAGAGGAAUUCAAAUGAAAAAAAAGGAGGGAAGAAGAAGAAGUAGAAGAAGAAUACCUCAAAACAAAGUGGCAGCAGUUGGGUAUGAAGACUUGAAAAAGGUAAAGAGGUAUGUAUUAUAUACAGAAAUGAAAGAAGAAAAGGUUGAGAUGUGGAUGGGGAAGAGUUGUAGAGAGAUAGAUAGAUAGAUAGAUAGAUAGAUAGAAAGAGAAAAGAGUGAAAAGGAAAGAAAAGGUGGGUUUACAAAGGGGGAGACAAAGCAAUCAGAAUAGCAGAAGAAGAAAUAAAGAACAGAAAUGGCAGAGAGAUAAGGUGGAUGAAGAAGAAGAAGAAGAAGAAGAAAGGGAAAAAAUAGAAAUAAAGAAAUGAAGGGAAAAAAGGAAAAGGGCAGCAACGGUUCCCAACUCAAAGCCGAGUCUUCGCUUCGGUAUUUGAGUUUAUGGUUUAUAUUUCAAAUUUUUUUUAAUAUAAACUUUAAAUUACGUAUUUAUUAAGCAAUUUGUAAUUGUAGCAUUGGCGGUGCCGGUGAUGCUACCGCUACCCCAGCGGAGGCGACAGAUAUUUCCACUUUUUUAAUAUUAAUAAACUUUCAUUGUUAAUUUUGUUUAUCAUAGAUCUAUCCAUUUUUUAAAAAUAUCAGAAUUUGAAGCACUUUUGAAUUUGCAAAGCACAAUUUUGUUUAAUGCCAGUGGUGAUGUUUUAAAUUUAGAACACUCAUUUGCUUUAACCAAAAGAAAAUAAAAAGUAGUGUUUAAAGUUUAAAAGACGUAUGCCUAUUUUGGUAAAAUUUUAAAAUGGAACUUUUAAAACAAAAAUCAAAUUAUAUUUCCUAUUCUUAGUUAUGCAUUUGGUAGCAUAUGCGUUCAAAUAAUCAUUUGGUAAAUAUAAAGAUAAGGCUUAUUUUUAAAUAAAUGUAUAUAUAUAGCAAAAUUUUGUAUAUGAUGAUGAAAAAAAAAAGUGGGAAUAAGGGAGAGAAGCAAAUGUUAACCAACUUCGUAGAUAAAUUAAUGUAUUAAAAAAAACAAAUUUUAUUAAAAUCUAAAUACCUAAAGGACAAUAUUAAAAUAUAUACAUAUUUUUAAUUCUGUUUCAUUUUAUCUAUAUUAUCUACAUAUGAAUAUCUACAAGUUUUUGUUUUUAUUUUUUAAAUGGUCCAUUUUAUGUGCGACAAAAAUAAGGGUUUUGUUAUUAUUAUUUUUAAUGUAAAAUUAUAUCAAUCACUUAGGACAGAUGGUAUACUUUCUUUAGUCACUAAAACGUGAAACUCUUAAAAAUUAGGAAAAUGUUGUUUUCGUUUUCUUUUAUUAUUGUUGUUUUUCCUUUUCAAUUAAAACUUAGUAAGAAAAAACAAUUGUAUAUAUAUUAUUUAACCAAAACGUUCAACUAAAUGGGAUAAAAAUUAUAAUCACCAAUGAUAAAAAAAAAAUAUAUACCACAUGAGAGAUAAGCAAAAUUUAAGUAAUUUUGUAAAAUUUGAUUAAAAAUCGUACUGAGGAUGGUGGGUGAAGUAGAGUAGGAACUGAGUAGUGAAAAUAAUGAUAAUAAUUUGGUAAAGAAGAAGUAAUGUUUGAGAGUGGUAGAAGUGGUUGAUGUGAAUAUCUAAAAUUAUAAAGAAUUGAAUGGAGGGUUGUAGUGAAUUACCAUGCCCAUAAGAGGUAUAGGAUCGUGACACGUGGAAGGUUUAAUGUGGUUAGUCGGCAGAUGAGCAUCAUUAUUAAUGGGAUGGAAGUCGUCACGUGUAUACACGCUUUUCUAUGUUGCAACUUAUUGUAUUAACGGUGUUAUACUAUUUUAAUAUUUAAACUAUGGGGACAUUCAUCAUUUAAUUACGCUUUUCAUUUCUUCUUUCCAUAAAAACUAAAAACGAAACAAUAUUGCUUUUCAUCCUUUUUCUCGUUGUUAUUGUCAGGUGAAAAAUAUUCAAUUUUAAAUACCACAUAAAUUCAUGUCAUUAUUGUAUAACUAUAUUACAUGUAAAAAGAACUAGGCUUUUUCAAAUAUAGAACCAAUUGUGAGUACCUAAAGGAAGCCAAAGUUUCCUUAAAGUCUAAUAGUAUUGCAUUUGAAUUGAAUAUGAUUGUAUUUAGUAAAUUCGUUUAGACUUGUAAGAAAAAAGAAUUAUAAAUAGUAUCAUAUGAUUAGGUAGUGUUUUAGAUAUCUAAAAUGUAUAGAAUAGUAUUAAUUUAGUUGACACAAAUAAAUAGAUCACAUCAAAGUAUAAGGAAAGAUUGUUACGCAAAAAAUCUUGGUAUAUGAAGUCAAAUGUUCACACAUCCAACAACAAAAUACAAUAUAAGAAGGUCAAAUAUUAAUUUGACCAACUCGAUGCUAAAUAUAACAAUUCCUUUUUUGUUAAGAAAAAGGAACAAAGAAAAUUGUUGUUUAUGCUAAUCUUCGGCCGCCGGUGAUCUAUAAUUAAUCCCACCAGAGGGUUACGUUAUCCCCUCUUUAAGAUGUAUGGGAACUGCCUUACGUGUUUUUAUUACAAACAAAAAUAAUCACAUUUUAUGUAAGGUUAAUUUUCAAAUACAAAAUAAAAAAAUUUGAUAUUUAGAGAGGAAAGCAAUACAAAUUUUAUCUUUAAUUUUAAUAGUAAGAAGGCAUGCAUUCAAACUUUAGACCUUGUAAUCACUAAUCAUAAAAAUGUCAAUUUAAACUAUCAUUUUUAAAGUGUAGUUGGAAUAAUAACAUAAGAAUACGAUCUUAAGGAAGAAGAAAUAGAGAACAAUGUUUUUAAAUUUUAAUUAAGCCUAAACUCUAAGCUUUAUUAACAUGGAAAGAAAAACCACCUCCGAAUGAUAUUCUCCAUGUCUGCCUUUUCAAUUGUCUGCUUUAGUCAUCAACUAAACCCAAUUCAGAUAUGAAUCUAAGAUCAAUGGAGAAGGAGUGAAGAAGAAGAAGAAGAAGCAGAGGGAAUGAUGAUGAAAGGAAGAGAGAGGGGAAAUGGAAAGACAGAAGAGUCGGCCUUUUAAAGUUAUUGUUUAUUUAUUUAUUUAAAAAUGUCAUGACCAAAAAUAGAAACUUUUAUAAACUCAUAAACUUGCACCAAAUUUUGAACUCAAAAGUUCACAUAUCCAUAUUUUUCAAAACUCAUAACUCAAUACUAAUAAUGCAAAUUUUCCUUUUGUAAAUUAUAGAAAGUAACUUUUAUUUGGUCAUAAAUAACACAUUGAAAUUGUUUUUUAAAUUCCAUUUCCUUAGAAUAACGAACUUCUUUUUUUUAAAUAAAUAAAUAAAAAAAAUUCAAACUUUCGUUUAAAUUGUAAAAGUGUAAAAUUGUUGAUUUUGUAUAAUUAGGACUUUAAACUUUGAAAUAUGGCUAUUAAGAAAAUAAACUCUUGAUUUUGCUUUCAAUGAAUUUAAAUUGUAUGUUUCAUCUCUUGUCAAACACAAAAUACAUUUUUGCACACAAUAGGUCUAUUAUUUAGUAGGCAAGAAACUUGCUCUGACACAAAAUUAAAAGUUGAAAACUAAGUCUUAAUUUGACAUUUUUAAAGUAUAUAAAACCUAUUAGACACAAAUGGUAAGUUUCAUUGAAGAACACGAGUUUUAAGACAACCUGUAAUUCAAUUUUUUUAGUAAUACUUAGCAAGCAUUUAUAGAAUUAAUAAAGUAUUGGAAUAGAAAAUAUUGAAAUUACAACCAAUUAGAAACAGUUGGGUAAUGAAAUUAGGCAAGUAAAAUUAAAGAGGCAUUAAUAGGAGAAAAAUGUGAGCAUAUAAAUAGAUAGGCUAGUGAUAUUAGUAUAUUAAAAACGGGAGAUAAGGAGGACAUGGGAGAGAAGCUAAUAAUAGAAAAUAUUUAAAGAAGGAUUGUUAGAAGAAAAUGUUAUAAGAGACAAACACUACUAACUACUGAACCAAACUUGGUUAACACUUUAAGUUGCAUAUCUAUCAUCUACAAAGUUAGAGGUUCAAAUUCUUUCAAACUAGUUAAACUAGAAAAAAAAAUGUAGAAAAUAAGUUGGGCAUAGAAUAAUAGACGCUUACUUUAUUCUUAAAUUUUGGAAAGUUAGAGUGAUCUAAUAACGUUUAGAAUCAUCAAUACUUCUAUCUAGAGGCCCAAAUAAGUAGACACACUGAGAUACUGAAACUAAACUUAUAAUUUAAUCCAUUUGAAAAAUCAGAAUAUGGAUGAGUGGAUACAUACUCAUUACUAUUUUGAAGUCCAUAGUUCAAUCGACCAUUCGCUGAACUAAAAAAAAUACCUUAAAUAUUGUAAUCAGAAUGGUCUAAACUCUAAGGAUGGUACUAGAAAGAAAUGAAUAAAAAAGGAAAACAAGAAUGUGGACUUCCACGUGGAAGUCCACUAAAUUUGGUCAAAGAAAACGUGUAAAGCUUCAACUCCAUUGUGUUCAUCAGCAAUAUAAGAUACUCAACACUAAUUAACAACAAGUUCCUCAUAAAGUUAUAUAGAGAGGGCGUAGUCGGCAUAUUGUGAAAGUGUAUGUAACGGGCAAACUGAUGAAGGAUUUCUGUGGGUUUUGGAAGACAGAAUUGACCUAGUUUGUUUGGAAAGACUUAUCAUUUUUGGCUCGUGGGUACUUGGAUUUUACAUCAAAACAAAGCUUUGGAGAGAGAAAGAGAGUAAAAGAGAUGGAAAGAAAAUCCAAAGUUAUUAGAAUAAUGGAGAAAGGGCACCACCAUGAGUGAUGCAGCUUUUGUUUUGUGGUCGCUUUCAAGUUCUCUUGACGCAAACAGGCAUUAUUGACAUGAGAGAAAAUGAGUCAUCCAGCAAUAUGUGAUUAAUAAAGCACAUGCCUUGCAUCCAAAACAACAGUGCACAUUACUUAUUGAACCAAUCAAUCGUGAGAAACUUAACACAAAUUUCAAAAUUCACACGUUCCAAUUUGACUAUUACUAUCCUGUACCAGAUUCCUAGUAUCCAAGUAGGAUCAACUUCCAUAGCCCUAUAGAAAUUCCUACCCAUAUGCUAAAAAGGAUAGCUCUGAUUUAAAUAUACUUUUUCUCCCUAGUCUAAUUCUAUUUUGCAAUAUUUUUAAACAAUACAAAUCAAUUUUAAAGUUGAACAGUUCAGCUUAUCAGAAAUGUCCACUGAUCCGGAUUUGGUUAGUUUAGAUAAGCAGAAAUUUUGAAUGGGUCCAAGACUAGACUCGUACCUCAGUGGAUGACAUGAUUGAGAAUGAUGGAAACGACUAGAUUAACUGAAUCAUCCAUACUUGGUUUCCUCUUCUCCACGCUAGUCAACUCAUAUUCAAAGCGCUAUUUAUGAGUUUUUUCUUCUUCUUAUUUUUGUUAGUUGAAUUAGAUUUGGGAUUGGUGAGAUUUGAUGAGAUCCAAAAACCUCUUACCUCUUGGUCAAAACUCGUGAGUAUAAGCCUAAUCCACUUAAACUAGUUCUGGAAAUGGGCUAUUUCUGAAUUGACUUUUUUAUAAAAAGAAAAAGAAAGAAAAAGAAAAUUGCUUUUACUCUUUUCUGGUAGUUUAAAGUAAGAGAGAACACGAAUAUUUCAGAGAAAAUUUUGCUCUUGAAAUCAAUCAAUAAUACAAUCAGACAGCAUUGAAUUGGACUUAAAGCCCACAAACUAGCUAAGGCCCAAACUUACUAAGGAAGAGAUUUAACCUGGAAUUUGUCACCAACUGCAACUUUACAAUUAUUCAAGCAGAUGCCUGUUCUGCAGCAGCUGCUGCAGCCUUUUUCUUUGCAAAGUAUUCCUCUGCACGUGCGAGGUUCUUAGCCACUGAUGGCUUAACCCAUUUCUUUCGGCCAGGUAAAACAGUUAGGGAGCAGCCAGCAGCUUCAAGUUUCUCUUUUGCUGCUGAUGAAAAGGCCCGAGCUUUGAUGUUUAGCUUUACACUUAGCUCUCCAUCCGCUAAAAUCUGAAGGAAAGAUAAAGUUAAACAAUAUGAAUCAGUCACCAGAACUUCGAUCAUUUAAGAGACAUCUGUUUAAAUCACCCAGUUUUCAUUUCACUUGGAGUAGAAAAGUGCAUCACACAUCAAAUUUUCAUAUCAACUUGUGUGAUCUUAACAAUGUAGAUAUUUGUGACAUUGGUACCUUUAAUGGGAGUUUCCUUUCUCUUCCUGAUGGGUUGAUCAAACCCUUCUCUUUUAAAGAUUCCAAAGAUACCUCUUCCCCUUCCUGAAAUCCCGCCUCUUCAAUGUCUUUAAGAUUCACUGGCACAUAUUUAGGUAACCCAGCAUGCAUACCUUGAAAGCAAAAGCAAUUGUUCAGCUCGAAUAUCUUGAGUUCAAACAAAGGUGACCACAAGAAAAACAAAUACAAUACACGAUAUAUCAUCUUGGAGUGUUCUUUUUAUGAAAAGAUAGAGUAAAGAAUGAGAAGAGAAAUGGGAAGAGAAAAACAGCUUUCUUUUAAUAAAAAAAACAUUGGAAUAUAUUCAUCAAGAUAGCUGACAGAAAAACCUAAGGGCAGGGGGUAGAGGAAACCCCCUCCCACAGAGCUAAACCAAAAGGAAAUCGGUAAAAUCCACUCUUUACAUGAGAUUGAAAUACCUCUCAUAGACUAACCAUUCUAACCAAAGGCAUAGCUAGUAAACAAGAACAAGGAUAUAACUAUACAAGAUACUACGUUAUAGAGAGAUUUUUGUUAGGUCCAUAGAUUUUGUACUCUGUAUGGGAGCUUGAGAAAUCACACUUCAUUAGACACUCAACCCAAUAUGAGAGCUUUUCUGAAUUCUUUUGACUAGGUUGAGAGACAAUCUAUUCCUCUCAUUGUCGUAAUCCCCAUCUCAUUUAUACAUCAUUACCAUUUCCAAGAAAGCAAAAAGUAAAUUAACAGUCUCCAAUAUCCAGUUUGAAGAGUAUUCAAUCUUCCACGCUGUGGGAUACUUGAAGAUCUUCAUCAUGAACCAUAACAGCUUCCUAGUCACUCUAGCCCAAACACCACAAUACAAAGCAUCGAUUACGUUUCAAGCAACCGGGAGAUGGAUGUGCACCUAUGGAGUGGCUACUUUUCUCCCUUGCCCUAGCCUCCUGAAAUCUAAAAAGGCCUAAUGCCCUCCAUCGAGGAAUAAGGAAUUACAUAAAUUACAAGUGCAAUAAUUCCAAACAUUGCUCCAACAACCUGCCAAGUACUAAAUAGGUAAAAAUAAACGGAAUGGAAGUUUUUGGGAUAAGGGUGAAAAGAAAAUUGGAACGCUCCGAGUCUCCCUCAAUGAAGCAACCAUAGUCUAUAGCACUAAAUAGGUAAAAAUAAAUGGAACUUACGUUUUCAGGAUAAGAGUCAAAAAGAUGAUUGGAACUCUCCCUCAAUGAAGCAACCAUAAUCUAUAGCACUAAAUAGGUAAAAAUAAAUGGAAUGGAAGUUUUCAGGAUAAGACUACAAAAGAUAAUUUGAACUCUCCCUCGAUGAGGCAACCAUAAUCAAUAGCAGAAUGAACAAUUGCGAUUGCACCAAACUAGCAAGCUAAGAUACGAAGAGUUGUAGAAUUCAUACACAAAAGGCAACUAAGCAGAAGAAUGAUAGAAAUUACCUCCUGCAAUUCCUCUAAGCUUGGGGAUUCUCCGAUAAAGAGGCAUUUGACCACCUUCGAAUCCUUUUCUUACACCAGGUCCAGACCUUGAUUUUUGUCCUCUCAUUCCAAACCCACAGCUACCGCCCUGCCCCGCCGAUAUACCUCUCCCCUUUCUCUUGCCCCUCUUCCUCGAACCCGGCUGUGGUCCGAGGUUGUCAAGACGGAACCGCACAUUCUCGGCGGGGGAGGCAGACAGGGAAGAAGCAGCAGCUUGGUUGCGAACAACCAAGUGUUUACCAUCUACAGACUUAGACUUGAGUCUGAGUGAAGAAAUGCUGAGGUGCUUUGAGUUGAGAAUAUUAACAUUUCCCUGGAAAAGCAUCAACACAGAAGGAAAUUGAAGUGAGAUAAGGAGUUGAAUUUGAAAUUAAGAAAGUAAAGAAAGAAAUAGGGAAGGUAAUGUGAUAUACCUUGAAGGAAGUGGUUGGAUAAGGGAGAGCAGUGGCUGUUCUGGUCAAGGAAGGUGAAGAUAAGGAAAAGAGGGCAGCCAUGGAUAAGCUGGAACUGAAUGUUUACAGUUGACGUUCCGUUCUUUCUCUUUUCUUCGCAAUGGGACGAUGCGGGCCUAAUGGGCCUUUGUUGUUGCCAUCACGAUUGGGUCCGUUGGAAAUUUUGGGCUUUUCUUCUUACAUAUGUAAAUAUGAAAACAUUUGUAAUAAUAUAUCAAUUACACAAGUUUGUCACUAACACAGACUAUAUAAGUGUGUGCUAACUAUAGAAGUAGCAAUCUAAGUUAAGAUAGUAAAUGAUAAUUUGUCACCUUCUCCACUUUCUUUCGAUCUUCAAAAUCUUUCCUACAUUUAGUUUCAAAUUUCAUACAUCUUAUCAAAUAUAGUCACGACCUCAAUUAAAUGUAUCAAAUUAACUAAACUUUUAGCUCAAAAAUCCGAAAAACCAUUAAAAAUAUUUGAAGAUAACUGAUUUAAACGUUAUCUCACGAGUUAAGGAUGUCUCAUUCUUUCCACCUUACUAACAUUCAUCCUCAAAAGUUAGGAUUUGAAUGACUUAGGGGGGAUUUGUUUUCAUAGGUUACUCUAAAAAAACACUUUCACUCUAAUUGGUUUACAACCUUUCUUUCAAAAUCAUUUUUCAUAAUAUUUUGUCUAUAUUUUUUUUCUUCAAUUUUGUUUUCUAAAAUUGGUUUCUCACAAACAAUGUUUCCUUGAACGGCCUUAUUUUAAAAAACUUAUUUUCGAAACUAGGAUUUCUCCACUGGAUUAUGCUUUGGUUUAAUUGACAUCUUAACUUGAAUGCAAUGUAAUCGACCACCUUUAAAUUUUCACCAAAUCACAAUGGUUACAAAGACAAACGUAAACGAUAUCUACUUUUUAAAAUUAUCCUAUAAUUUUUUUUCACUUCGUAAACCUUUUAAAUAUAUUUUAGAUAAAAUUGGGGAAUUUGCAAAAAUAGCAAAAAAAAAAAAAAAUGAUAAUAGAGUUAAUGUCACUGCAUUUUUCAAAUUGCAAAUGUAGCAAAUUUUAAAGUUGAUAGUCAUUUGAUAGCACCAUAAAAGCCGUAUGAUAUAACUAAUAUAAAUUUGGUUUGUUAGAUGUGUUAUUAAAAACAAUGUUGUAAACUCAUAGAUUUACGUGAGUUUAGUUCAGAGUCUUCGUUCAUGUUUACAAAUUUAGAAGCUUGAAUGAGUUUCUUAAAUUGGAAAGUAACAUGAAAAUAUUAUCCUAUCUAGAGGAAGUCGAAGAUUUUGUUCACUAGUAGUUAAAUUUUAUCGCCAUUAGUGUGAAAAUAAAAUUUAAAAACAAAAACCACAGGUCAUUGUGUUUUUUCAAAUAAUCUGUUUAAUUUUUUGUUUUUAGAAAUCAGAUUGAAAAGUGGGAACAGAAAUAUAGGAAACAUGUUUUAAGUUUUUGAAAAGAUAAAAGAAGGAAUAAGUAAGGAAAGGGAGGCCCAAUAGUGGGAUACAUUUGACCAAUUGGGCCUAUAUUGGGCCUGAUUAAUUAUGAAGUUAUAAAGGGGAAGGGAGGUUGGGUGUGGUUUCGUCGGCAAGCAGCAGAGAGAAAAUGUACCACUCGUGGCUUACCGACUCGUAUUAGUCAGAUUGAUGGAUAUGUUAUGUAUUGUUACCAAAUCCAAUACCAAUUUUUUCAAUUCUUCAAUUCCUAAAUUUGACCCUCAACUCUUAAAAACGACUUAUAUCUAACACCUUUCUAUUUCAAUUCCUUUUUUUCUCCUCAUCGGUCCCCAAUAUUCCAACAUUUCUUUUUUCCUUUAAUAAUCACUUUUAUUUCCCCCCCCCCUCCCUUUCUCUUACUCAAAUAUAUAUAUAUUAAAACAGUCAACCCCACUGUGUUAGUCAAAAACAAAAAACCAAAACAAAGUUCUCAAUUUCUCAAUUUGGGUGAUUAAUGGUCGGUGCAAAAAGAUAAAAAUGAUAACAAAUGCAAUCCCUUUUCUUUCCUUUUUCUUCAUGAAAUUGCGGUACCGUCAAACUCAAAAUUAAACCAAACGUCAUGUCUCUCUCUCUAUUCCCAUAUUGAAAAGAAAAAAAAAAAAAAAAAAAAUGAAGUUUUGGGUUUUCCUUUUGUCUUAAUUUUUGAUAUAGGAAAAGAUGGUGAAAAAGAAAAAGAAAAGGUUGAUCGGAAAAGUAGAGAAAGGUUGAACUUUAGAAGCUGACUUUUGUUCAUAAUUUAAAAAACAAAACGAAACCCUUAAAAGAAAUAACAUCAAUCAUUAACUUUUUGACUUCUUUCUUCUUCUUCUUCUUCUUCUUCAGAAAGAGAAUGUCUUCUUGUUAUAAUACAUUUAAAAAUGAAAAAUAAAAUAAAAAGAGAGAGAGAGAGAGAGAGAGAGAGAGAAUUGCUUUUAUUUCCUUUUUCCUUUUCACUAUUUUCAUAUUUCCGACAUAUUUUUCAACUCCCCAGACUAAUUGGGAGUUACCGUCGGUCGGUUAGUAACGGAAGAAAAAGCACUUUAUUAUUAUUAGUAUUAUUAUUACAUUUUUGGGUUAUGCUUAUAAAGUAGAAAAGUGAUUUCAUUUUCAAAAUUUGUUUUCUAGAAAAAGAAAACUACUUUUAUGGCUGACUGUCGGUUCUCUACGAUUCCACCGUAAAUUUUGUUUUCGUUUUAAAACGUGGGAGCAAACUUUGAGGUUUAAAAAAUAGUGUGCAAUUGAAGAAGAAACAUAAGAAAGUGAACAUUUAAUUUUGGACAAAAAGAAAAAAAAAAAGAAGAAGACUUUACAAGAAAUGUGUAUAUGAUAAUAUCUAUUAUAAUCAUUACUUUCUUACCGUCAAAUUUGAAUAAUUAAUUCACUAAACAGUACAAACUUUAAUGGUAUGUUUUGGAAUUGGAAGUUGAAAACUAAGAAGAUUGAUAAUUUAGAGACAUAUUUUCCAUCUUCAAACAAAGAAUUAAACAAUAUUUAUUUCUUGUCUAUUUUCCUUCUUCAUAGUAUUAGACCAAACCCCUUUUUAAUUUACUUUUACUUUUCAAGUUUGACAAAUUUGAACUCUCAGAAUUUCAAAACUUGAUUUUGGUUAAUUGGUUCAAACAAAUUAAACCUUUUAAUAAUAGAAAACAGGAUUUAAACUAAGUUGAUAUGGAUAUAUAGAAUUUAUAUUCAACAUAAAAAUUUAAAGGAAUUUGACCAUGCAACAAAUAUAUAUUUGGAUGUUUGAAUUGAUUGACUUGAUUAUAUAUAUAUAUAUAUAUAUUAAUAAUAAUGGUUGAAAUGAAAAAACUUGAAUUAUUUUAAAGUUAAACAAAAAGUUAUGUAGAAAAAAGAAGCUGCUAAAAUGCCUUCAAUUCAACUGAUUUAAAAUAAAUGAGAUCUCCUCUGAGUUUCUAAAGGUGUGAUUUUCUUGUCUUUGACUACAAAUAAAGACAGGAAAUUAAAUGGAAAGUGUUCAAACAUUUUUCUACAAAACCAUGACUUUAAAUGGAAUUCAAAGAUUGAAUUUCAAAUUUCAAACCCUUUUCUCUCUCUCUCUGUCAAAUAAUAUUAAUUAAAGAACAAAAUAGACAAUUCAUAUGCAUGUAAGUUUAUGUUUUUUUUUCCUUCUUUUCUUUUCUUUAGGGUUAUGGUAUGAAUUUCGAAAGAGAGAUGUUCCUAAGUUUAAGGCAUUGAAUUGGCGAAUUGGAUUGCUUUGGGCAACGGCACAACACAUGACUAGUUUUAUGUCCAAAUAAUAACAUCAUCUAUUUAAGUUUUUUUUAUUUUUAUUAUUAUUAUAUAAAAAAAUUGCUUCUUUCAUCAUUAUUUGGUUUAAUAAUUAUUUUGUUUUUAGUUUUAUGGGUUUUUAAUCAAUUAUAUUUUAAAGCAAUGUGAAAAAACAAAUUCAACUUCCAUAUUUAUUAAUACUUUAAAUUUACAUAAUUAUUUGAGAAACAAUAUAGUAUUUGAGAUAGUGAUAUGCCAACAAUAAACCUAGAGAUCAUCAAGAGUAGUCAUAAUCUAAAUGAAUAAUAAUACAGAAAAUCUAAAAACCUUAUCAAGAUUUGAUGAAGUUUGCAGAUUCACAAAAAUGAAAUAGUUCUUCAAAAUUUUCAAUCAUUAGAUGCUCCAUUAUUCGAUACCAUAUUAAAUCAUUAUAUAGAGCAAAGUAUCAUUUAAUUUAAUCAAAAUCUUUAAUUUUCUUGCCUAAGAAUGACGUACGACACCUAAUUCAUUUGCAAAUUUGAAUAUAUAUGUAUAUAUAUGAUUUAAGGCAUGCCCACUUUUCCUAUGAUUUUGAACAUCUUAUUAAUUAACGAAGAAAAAGAGAGAAAGAAUAUAUAUAUAUAAUUACAAGUGAAAUAUAUGAUAUAUGUAAUUAAAAAAGAAAGGUGGAGGGGGACAAGGAGAAGUGUGGAAUUUGUGGUUAAUGUAUAUAUUGUAAUAAGGGGGAAAAUGUAUAAGGUGGUAUCCUUGCUGAUUGGUCCCCUAAAUAGAAGCUAAAAAGGAGCAAUACAUAAGUGGACUAGUUGGGGAGGUUGGUUGAAUUUUAGACAUAAAAUAAGAUGUGGGUCUCAAAUGUGUUACAAACUCUAAUUAUAAACUCCCCUUUUUCUUUACCCUACAUAUCUACGACGUCAACCCCGUCACGACAACAUUUCUCCAAAUACUUUUUUUUCAUCAUCACUUCAAUCGUUAUAUAAAUAAUACGUGAAUGAACCAAUAUCACGUCAAAAAUUAAUAUUAGAAUUUAAUUGUUAAGCUACUCGAGCUAGGUAAGCAUAGAAACGAAAUUUAUGAUGUGUUUUUUUGGUUUAGCUUUUCAAUUUUGGAAUUAAGUCAUCACUACAAAAUGUAGGGGUGAGCAUGAUGGACCAAAAAAUCGAGCCAAUCGAUCAAAUCGAAAUUAGUCGAUUUGGUUUCAGUGUGUUUCAAGUCGAGAAUUUUCGACAAGUAUUUCUAAGUGUUAAAUCGAUCCGAUCCGACAAAAAUCAACAAACUGGCCGACCUUUACUCAUCAAUGUUGAGGUCGAUUUGAACAUUUACUAAACUGACUAUGUUUGGUUCAUGAUUGAUUUUGUAAAAAAAAGAAAAAUCAACUUUAAUGAACCGAUAAUCACCCCUAGUAAAAUGUUUGAGUGUUUGGUAAGUAAUUAAUCAAAUAUAUUUUUUAUCGUAAAAAAAUGAGUUUGAAUUAUGUUUGGGUUUAAGAUUAAUGCUUAAAAACGACUUUUUAAAAGAAAAAAAAGAAGAUUUUUUAGCAUUUAAUACUUAGGCUCCUAAUUUGUAUAAUUCUUAAAAUGAUCAAAAUUUCACUAUGUUGCCAUGGAUUGUGGCCUACCACCUCCGAACAACUAACACUUAAGAGAUCAAUAAAAACAACUUUAGUAUAUAAUAAACUAAAUAAAAACUUGAGUAUAAAAGCUAGUCGUUUGAGGAAGAGUUGUCAGAAAAACACACGAGGUAUUUUAGUUGAAUUUUUUGAAAAAAACCAAAAGUAUUAGUACGCUUGAAACCAACUUUUCGAAAAACGUUUAUUUUGGAUGUAAUUCAAACACCAGUAAUAUGAUUAUGAAUAUGAAUGAAUAAGAAAAUAGAUGUAGGUUGGAAGUUUAAUUUGAUAAGGUAUAGAAGAGAUGAUUAGGUUUAAGUUUAAAAAAAGAAAGAACAAAAUUAUAUGAUGAGGCGUAGAGAUAUAGGCUAUAGGGAGGGUUUUUGAUGUGAGGGGUUUGGGUUUUUGCUUGGUUUGUACUACACACCAAAUGAAAGGGGGUCUCACUCACUCACUCGGGGAAGGGGAAGGGGCAGGAACCGGCAUGGGACCAUUCCCAUAACGCCUGCCGCCGGAAGUGGGGAUCACAUGGAGACAACAUUUCAAACAUACCCUUCCUUCUUCCAUUAUUCUUGCCUUCACUCUCUCCACACACCCACUUUUCUAUGUUUUCUUUCCCAAACAUAUCAUUAAUUAAUAACACUUAUUAUUAUUAUUUUUUAUUUAUCUAACAUUAAAUAAAUCCCAUCUCUUCUACUAUAUAACUAUAUAACUAUAUAACUAUAUAUUAUAUAUAUAUGUGCUCAACUUGCAAUUAGCUUUUUAAUAAAGCGCCAUUUUCGAGUAUACACCCUUAAAGGUGUACUUUGUGUACACCAUGACAAAAAUAAUACACACCUUUCUCAUACCUUUAACUUCACUUAUGUAAUUGUUUUUCUUCAUGUAAGACAAGCUGGAUGAGGAGAUAAUUACGUUUAAAAAAUAAAAAUUAACAGUAACCUUUUUGUAGAGGUGGGAGGUAAUCAUCUUUUGAAGAUAAGGUUGAUUGUGUGUAAAUAAAAUAUGUUGGAUUGAGUUAGGGUAAUGUUGUGUUUGUUUUUGGGGAUUGAGAAUAAUUGUAGGAGUAAAUCAACUUUGGAUUAGGCUGUCAAAGUAGUUAAAUCGUAAUUUGGGAUGUGGAUUGUAUUUGGGCUACGUACACCCAAAUAUAUAAGUGCAUCCAAGUUUUUCUCCUAAGAUAGCUCCUAAAAGCAUCAUUACUGUCAACCUUGAUAAAUAUUCUUCAUGGCAACAUGGGUUGUCAUGCAUAAUAUUAGGUCAAAAAUCAAUCUAUACCUCUAAAUUUUAGGGAUGUCCAAAAAUUUAUUCGUAAAUGCUAUAAUUAAUUUAAAACUGGAGAGAAACCCAGGCAUGAGAAAUUAUGAAAUGUGUUUUUUUCAUUUAAUCUAAUGCAUGAUAAUUUAUCUCUACUGUUUAGUUACAAAAGUACUUUAUAUACGCGACUUUCUAAAAGUUAAUUUAAAUGGAAUUCAAGUUAAUUGAGUUUAAAUUUAUUCAAUUAUUAAAUUUUAGAACUUUAAAGAUUUUUUUAACAGAAAAUGUCCAUUCGAUUGGAUCAUAGUUAAGUCGAUAAUAAUUAUGGUGAACAAUGAAACCCUUUAUUUACAAAUCUUGAUUCUUAUUUUAAUUGAAUUUAAUACAUAAUUUUACAAUUCAUUAAACGAUGAAAUGUAUUAUUUAGUAAAAUUGUAUUUUAUAUAAUUAGAUUAUUUUUAGUAUAUAUAUACACUUCCAUUCUAAAAAAUCUUGACUUGUGUAAGUCCCAUUAAUACGUAAUAUUGUGAUAUUUAUUAAAAUAGUUACUGUUUUUUCUUAAUGACUAUUGAAAUUAAUAAGUAGUGUCACGAAAUAAUAAUAAUAUUUGGACAAAAUUAAGGGUGUUGCAAUAAGUAAAAGUGAAUUAGAAUAUUAUUGCUUUUUAGUUUGACGGAUGAAUUACAACUUACAAGUUUUAAACAAUUUUAAAACUCCCGUUGGCAUAUCACUUUACGCCGUAUAAAAUACUAUUUGAUUCUUUGCUUUCAUUACUUUUUUUUUUUUUUUUUUAAAUGUUAUGGUGUCAAAAUAAUAGCAAUAAUUAAUUCUUAAUUUACUGAGAGGAAAAGAAAAAAAAAUAACGAGGAGUCGAGUGUGGUACUGUUCCAACAUCAUGGUGCUUAAUCCAAAUGUGAUGGUUUAUAUAUAUUUGAAUAAUAUUGAAUUAUAUAUUGAAGUAGUGUUAAUUAGAAUUGAAUCUUUAUAGUUCAACUCUUUAAUUACUUUUAUUAGAGUUAUACUUAUCUUAUCUUAGUUGAGUCAUUGUUCAAGUGGUACUUAUUAAUAAUAUAGUAAAAAAAAUAUAUAAGUUUUGGUGCAUUGAGGUUGGUGUAAUCCAUUCAAACAUACAACACUUGUAAAAUUAGAAAUCAGAAAAUUACAAGAUAAACAUUCUUAGAUGACAAUAAUAUAUAUUUUGGUGGAUUUUAGUUUUUUUUUUUUAAUAUAUAUUUUGAUUCAUCAAUAUAUCUCAACCAAUUAAAUUGUAUUUAAGUGGACUAUAAAUUAAUUUAAAAUAGUAAAAGUAAAAUGAAAUUAUAUUUAGAUAGUAUUAUUAAUGCUUUCAAAAGUCCAAUAUAUGGAAAAUGAAUUUCUAGAUGUUUAAUCCAUUUUUAGUCAAAGGAAAAAAAAAAAAGAGAUUAAUUUAAACAAAACCCAAUGAGAAAUUCACCAAAAAUAUUAAUUUAGAAGGAGGGAGAUAUUUCUUAUCAAAUAUUUUCAAAUCAAUUAUUAAAAAAACUAAAAAAAAAGGUCUGAGGAAGAAAAGCAUUCAAAUAAAUAAGUGAUGCCCACCAAAGUUGAAAAACACUGAGAAGAGAGAGAGAGAGAUAGAGAAAUUAGAGAAAUGCGUGUUGGUUCAGCAUCUUCCUUUAAUCUCAUGACACUCUCUUCUUCUUCUUAUUCUUCUUCUUCGUCUUCUUCUUCGUCAUCGUCUUCUUCUUCAUCUAAAAUCUUCAUCUUAAACAUUCCAUUUUCUCGCCGGAAAAAACGGCAGCAGGUAAAAGCCAUUGCCGCCGCUGCCACCACCGGAAAAGAUCAAAAUAUUCUCGUGAUAAUGGGUGCCACGGGGUGCGGCAAAUCUGGCUUAUCCGUUCAGCUAGCCUCUCACUAUCAAUCUGAAAUCAUAAACUGCGACAAAAUGCAGGUUUAUAAAGGUCUGGACAUUACAACUAACAAGAUUCCCCUUCAUGAACGACAUGACGUCCCACACCAUUUACUCGGAGACGUCGAUUCCAUUCACCAAGAUUUCACUCCCUUUCAUUUCAGACUCCGUGCCGACAAUGUCGUUUCAGAUAUAGCCUCUAGAAACAAACUACCUAUUCUAGUAGGUGGGUCCAACUCCUUCAUUCACGCAAUGCUCGUAAACCAUUUCAAUCCAAACCACGACGUUUUCACUCCCAAAUCCCUUAUUUCAUCCCACUUACGUUACCGUUGUUGUUUCCUUUGGUUAGACGUUGAGUUUCCCAUUUUGGCCGAAUAUCUUUCCAUUCGAGUUGAUGAAAUGCUUCAAAUCGGAAUGUUCGAGGAAUUAGCUGAGUUUUACGAUCCCCAUACAGCGGAAACCAUGCCGUAUACUGGGAUUAGAAAGGCAAUAGGAGUUCCGGAGUUUGAUAAGUACUUCCAAAAAAACCCGCCCAGUAAAAAAAGUGGGAUUGAUAGAGAAGCGUUUGAAGAAGCGGUUGAAGCCAUAAAAAGGAAUACCCACGUGCUGGCGGAGAGACAGAUAGGGAAGAUAUUGAAACUGAAAGAGGCGGGUUGGGAUAUAAACGUGUUAAAUGCAACGGAGGCGUUUAGGGCGGUGGUGGAACCGGGAACAGGCCGGAACAGGAAGGAGAUUUGGGAAAAGGAGAUUUUGGAACCAAGUUUUAGGAUUGUCAACCGAUUCUUGAAGGAGUAGUAGGUUUUGUUCGUUAAAUUUGUAAGUUAUAAUAAUAUUAUUAUAAUUUGUGCUUCCUCGCAUUUAAUUUUUCCCACAUGAAGAAACACACACCGGCGAAACGAACGAAAGUUUGAGUUGAAGAUCGACGUCCGAAGAUCCACAGGACUUUUCCGGCUGAGAAAAUUGGUUUGUACUUAGCGAGUGAAGAUUUCUCAAAAUAAUUUUUAAAUAUACAUACUUCCACAUUCAAUAUACAAUUUUUUUUUUUGUUUUAAAUUUCUUGUGCUUUUAACAUUUCUUUUCUCUUCUGAUCUCUCUCUCUCUUAAAUUCCUUUUUAUAUGGCGAGGAAAUUAAUUAAAUAAAUAAAGUAGUUAUGUUCACCUUGUAUAUAUUUUAUCAAGUACUUAUUGUAAUCGAUUUAAUAUAAUACAUUCGAUUCUUUAUAUAUAUAUAUAUAAUCAAAGCUAUGAAUCAAGUUGGGUUAUUUAUUCAUUUUAAAUCUUUUAGUUAUAACAAUUCCUUCUCCACUUUCAAAAAAAUGAGAACUAAGACCUUAGGUGCAACUCUGCAUCUAUCCACUCUUAUUAUAUAUACAAACAAACAAACAAAAAAGUUUAAAAUAUUUUGAGAAAAAGAUGUAAAAGAAAAUAUAUAACUAUUGAUGGGACAAUUUAGUGGUAUUUAAUUACAAAAGUAAGAGUAGUUUAAGACAUUAAAUAUUUUUUAUUUAACAUUUAAUCACUACUUAAUAUAGUUUCUUAUUCUUGUUCUUAAAUCACUCCUUCAACUUAAAAGUUUAGAUAUAAAUCAAACUUUAAUUAUAUAUCAUAUUACUUGUAUUAUGAAACAUCCAAAAUUUAAAAAACUACAUAUAAAUCAAACAUUAGUGUAGUGAAAAUUCUUUUUUCUUUUAAAGUAUACAAUUUGAUUUCAGUUGAACUAUAACAUACUUCCCUUUUGAAUAUACAGUAGAAAAGUUUUUUUUUCCAUGGGAAAAAAAGAUGGCAAAACAUGGAGAACAUAAAAGGAAAAAGAGAGAGGGAAAAAAGAAGUCCAAUUUUGCAUCUGCAUAACACCAUUCAAUUAACAUUAUCAUGCCAGAGUAAGCACAUGGAUAAGACAAGCUAUAAUGAAUUUGAAGCCAUUAAUUCUAAUCGUGACCAUUUUGGUCUUCCCAAAAAUCCAUUAUUACUUUUCAAAAUUAUUUAAAUUAGUUGAUGGGAUUAUCAUAGUAAUCAUAUUUAAACAGGACCUCAAUUCGAUCAUCUAUGCAAAAUCACGCUAUGUUGAAUUAAUUUUAUUUUCUUAGUGUGUGUGAUUUAAAAUUUUUGGAGUACAUGGUUUGACCUAAAGAAAUCAUAGUACGAAAUUUCAAGGGAGAUAGUUUAAUUUCAAGAGUCAAAUAACACAUUAGUUGAAGAUAUAGACAUAAUUGAAAAUGAAAUUAUUAUAAGAUGCAUCGAUUGAGGACACAUAAGAAGAAUAAGAAGAAGAAAAUGAAGUAUUUUCUACAUAAUUGGGUAAGUGUCAUAUAUGAAUGGGACCAAAUAUUAAAAUAGAGUACAAAAAAUUAGGCUAAGGUUUUGAAAAUAGUUAUAUAUCAUUGUCAUGUUGCCUGUAUCUCCAUCUUUCCUCCUCCUUUCUUCGUUCUAGGAAGCUAAAUGUCCAUUCCAACAGCAAUCUAAUCGGUGAUAAUAAUCUUUAUAAAAUAUGGAUUAUAAGUUCCAAUCAUUUUCCCUUUUCUAAUAAUAUCUCACUCUAUAUAAAUUCUUAUAUUUACACAUGUUUUUGAUAUGGACAUUUCAUCUACAAACUAUUUCAUAUAUCCAUUUCAAAUUUAUAAUUCUUUUAUCAACACAAAAUAUGUUUCAUCGUACAACAUAACAUGAAAAUAAUAUACAAUUAUUGAAUUUUUGGGACCCAUAUGAUCAUAUUUAUUAUUGUUUGAACUAAUUUGUUUGUCCACCUCCAUUCAAUUUGAUUUUAAGUUCUUGAACUAACCCCAAUAUCUAGAUUUCAAUGUUUUACAAUUAUAUGUUUUUUUUAAUGAGAAAAAAAAAGAGAGUUAAUGAAUGUGUUUUGUUAGAAAACAUGCGCAUGUUUUUUCAAUUCCCAAUAGAAUUAAAUAAAAGAGUGAAUAUAUGUUUAUAAUUAGCCCAUAGUUUUUAUGUCACCUAGGGUUUAGAAAGCCUCAAGUGGAGUUAUUUGAAUACUUUUUGUAAUAGAUCAAUACAAUUAUGUACUCAUCUAAACUUGUGUUUGAAAUGUGUGGCUCCAUGAUUAAUAGUAAGUGUGACUUGAAAGAUAAGGUUCAAAAGUUUGAAAUUAUUUUAUGCAGUUCAUGUGAGAUGAGAUUGGCUUAGUUUGAACCCUGUUUAUAUAUAUAUAUAUAUAUUAAAUUGUAUUUAUUUUCCUAUUUUCUUAAAGUAAUUAUCUGAAUUAUGUAAAUUUGUAAAAGUAAUUUUAAAAACUAAUUUAGUGAAAGUAGUUAAAUUCAUGUGUACCAAGAAAAGAGCUUUUGUAUAGGUAUAUUAUUCUAUAUUCAUAGCAUUUAAAUACAACUACAUUAUAUCAAUGAAAUUCUUUACUGAUAAUUUAUGAUGCGACAAAUUAUUCUAUAUUGGUACAAAAGUGUGUGUUAUUAUAUGGUUCGAGUGCAGCAUGUAAAGGUAUUCCAUGUACACUUCAUAGGAUUGGAAGGUGCAGAAACUGUAAGGAGACCAAACAAACAAGCAGCUGACAGACGGUAUAUUAAAAAAAGAAAACAAACAUUACAAUAUUUUAAUGAUCUACAUAGGUAAGGAAAAUAAAUUAAUAAAAUAAUUAAAAAUAUAGAAAAUGGUUAGAGAGAGAGAGAGAGUGUGUGUGUGAAAAACAUUGAUUGCAUAUAGCAUACGCAUGUAUGUAAGAAAGAAGGGAAAUGGCCGGGAAGGGGCAGCAAUGGCGUUGGACAAUGUCUUUUGGAGCCAUUAAAACCUGAACCCAUAAAGUACUUAUAUAAUUAAUUAAUUAUAUACAUAUAUAUUAUAUAUACACACACACACAUAUAUAUUAUAUUUUAAACUGUAUUUAAUAAAUAAAUUUGGGAACUGAAAUGGGGAUUCAGAGUUCAGAGAGACAAGUCAGUACGCGUGCGGCUUCCUUCUUCUGCAUGCGCAUGAUCCUAUACAAUUUUUAUUCAUUUAUUUAACCAACCCAAUUACCAAAAACCCUCUUCUUCUUCUUCGUCGUCGUCUUCUUCUCCUCCUUCUUCUUCUUUUUUAAUUUUUAUUUUCUGUUUCACUGCCGGUUUGGUGGCCGGCAGCCGGUUCUGUGUGCUGCCGUUUCGGUUUCAUCACUUCACUCUCCUUCUCUACUCUAUACUAAACCUUCCUAAUCCCUACUUAAUUACCUAUCACUAUUUUAUUUUAUUAUUAAACUUACUAGAAGAAAUUCAUUGUUUAGAAAUAUAUACAACAUUCUUUUUUUCUUUAUCGCAAGGGUGACGGUCAGGUUUGUAAUAUCAUGACAAUAUUGUUCUUGAAAAAAAGAGACGUUAGAAAAACGAAGUGGGGCGAGUAACAGUCGGCCCACAUGUAGUUUGUAAACGAGCCCAAUUUUGAUUAACGAGAUACGCUUUGUCGUAGGCCCAAUCCACACCCAAAAUUUCAAAUUCUAUGUAUAUAAUCCUUUUUCCUUUCCUCUAAUUUCAUAAGAUUCGAACGUGAGAUUAAAAAAAUAUAUGUAUAUGAAAAAGAAAGGUGGUGGAUAUAGGAAAGUUGUGUAAUAAAAAAAUGGGAUGGCGUGAAAAAAUAUUGAAAAUUAAAAAAAGGGUAAUAAACACAAGUAAUUUGAUUAGUAUAAGGUACUUCGUUUUCAUUAAUUUGGACUUCUUUUAGCUUUCAACCCUUCACAUUAGCCAAAGACGUUGAUUACUGUAUUAAUUAAAUUAUUAGUUCAUUUCCAAUUAAUUACCGAGGAGUUGACAUUCUUAGUUCAUUGUUCAAUAGUUUUCCUUUUUUAUAACUUAGAUUGAACUUGACUUUUCUUAUAUAUAUAAAGUUUACAUAACAAGUAUGUUAAAUAAGAAAAAUACCACUUUCAUCAUUCUUAAAUAUAUAUAUAUAUAAGUGUUAAGAAAAAUACUACUUUCAUCAUUCUUAAAAUGGUAGACUAUAGUAUAAUUUUCUAUCACCAAUAAUUUACAAUACUAUAUUUUUAUCUUUUUAAUCAAAUUUAAAAUUUUGUCUACCUUCUAUCAUUUCUUUUCAUAUACAAAAUAAGCUCUCGCACAUAUCUACGAGAAAAUUAAGAAGCUAAAGUUUAAUAUUUUUUAUGUAACGAAAUAAAACGGACAUUUUAAUUUUCUCUGCCUAAAUUUGAUCAAAGUUCAUGUUAUUAUUGAAUAAUUACCUUGUUAUUGAAAUAAAUUGUAAAGUUGUUGAGAAGGUCAAUAGGAUCGUGUGAUUUAAUUUGUGUUGGUAGUGAGAAGAAGGUGUGGAAAUUUAGAUAUGCUUGGGAUUAAAAGAUAGAUAUUAAAAUUGGAACAAAGACUUUGAGAUUAAUUAAUUUGGGUGCACUUAUUUAAUUUGCAAAAUGUUACUGUUCCAUUGAAAGUCAAUCAAAUGUAUGCGUUUUUGACCAAUCUUUAUUUAAUAUAUCCUUCGUUGUUUCUUUACAUCAAUUGUUUAUAUUUAGAUGCAACUCUUCCAUUCUAUAAUUAUAUGAACUUUCCUUCUAAUACAUAGCUACCAAUUUGAACUUAUUAAAUCAUUUUAUUAUCCAAUAAGAUGUAUGAUACUUAACCAGCUGCCUCACCAUCUUUAGCCGCCAUGUAUUAAAGAAACAAAAUGUUGUUUUGGUUAAUGAGUUUAAUAAGACCUCAAUUUUAUAAUAAAGUUUUACCACCACCUUACAAUUUUUAAUAUCUAGGUAGCUAGAUUUGAUCAAUUAAUUACUUUUGUUGACAAUUGAAUUUUGACGUGUAAAAAUUGGUAUGUGAAAAGUAUAUAAAAAAACACAUGUUAUAUUAUUUUAUAUAGUUCUCGAUAACAAAAUGUCAUACAUGAUUUCAACUAAAAGAUAAUCUCUUCUCACUUUAUUUACAAAAUAAAAUUUGUAAUUCAAUUCAAUCAAUCAUAUAUAUUUUCAGACAAUUGCCAUGCUAUUUGUUGUUUGAAACCAACACCAAAGUUUAGAAGAUUUUAUAAUAAUAUAUCUUAAGGAAACGACAACGUAAUUAAGGCCUUUUAAUUUGAGUUUUCCGUUGCUAAAUAAAAAUUAGGUUAAAGUUUCAUUUUGGUAACCCAUACAUUUAAUUCUAUUCAUUUUUAAUUUCUAUACUCGUAAUUAUCUAAUUUUAAGUUAAAUUUUAGCUAUAAAUUUAUAUCAAAAUCAAAUAAAUGAAAAUUAUUAUAAUAACAAAUUUUAAUAUUUACUACCUAAGUACAUAUACUAAAUGAAUAAUUGAAAGUACCAAAAUUAAAAUUGAACAAAAAAAAAAAAAACUACCAAGUAAUGGUAUAAGGAAAAUUGUAUUUUGGCCUAUAACCUUGUUGUCCAUUAAUACUUUUUUAAUUUUUAAUAUUCCUUGACAUCUUAAUAAUAUAUUUUUCAACCUAUCAUUUGGAGAAAUUAGUGGUUAGGGGAUUUAACUAAUACAACUUCGAGUUUGAUUUUAUGCAUAUAUAUAAAGUGAUUUAAUUAUAUGUUCUAAUAUUUUCAAUGAUAGAAGUACAUUAAAAACAUAAGCAUUAUGCAUACUUUUUAACUACAGAAAGAACGUAUAAGUUGAAAUAAAAUAAAGAGCUAAUCUGCAUGGCAUGCAACAACAACCAAUAAUAAUAAAUACGUAUUGUAAUUAAUCAUGGGAUAUAUAUAUAUAUAUAUAUAUAUAUAUAUAUAUAUAUAUAUAUAUAUAAUAUAUAUAUAUGGUGUUCUUACCAAAAGAAAGAGAAAGAAAAGAAGACAGUUGUUAACAAAAAAGGAUCUUUGAAUGUAGUGAUCAAAUUCCCUUCAUUUUAUUUUUCUUCAAAAAGGACUGCGUCUUUGAUUAAAACUACACGUUUUUGGGUUAAUUACUUAUAUAAAUAUCAUGUUCUUAAAUUAUCACUCACUCACCACAAUUUUUCUUGAUUUUUUUUUCUAUAAUAGAAGUUAAUUAACUAAACCGUCAUUGUUUUUUCAUUAAAGUAUCUCACUUUUCAAGAUAACAAAAGACUUGAAUAAUUAAUAUGAUUAGAAAACCGUAGAAUACUAUGAAAAGUUCCCAUUCUUAGUAUAUCUGUAUUAUUUUUAAGAAUUAAAGUAGAAAGAGGAGAAAGAGGCAUGAGAAGAAGUUGAAGAUUAUAUAGUCAAUAAAGUACAGUGUGUUUAGUAUUUAUAAUUUAAUUUUGUAUAAUGUUGGUCGUCAUUAUGUACGCUACAUGAAUCUAAUAAAUUUGGAAAUCCCCAACUUGAAUCAUUAAAUUAUAAACAGAUAAUAUAUAUGAUCAUUAUUGACUUUCCGCCGGCUCCGCCGUCGUUGGUCAACGGAAAGUCCCUCAAACUGUUUCUCCGAUUCUUCAAAAUCACAAACCCCACCUUCGUCUCCCUCUCUCUACUCUCUUCUCUCCUGUUGUUAUUGCCAUUAUUUCCUUACUGCUUUUAUAUUAUUAACUUUCAACACUGCUGCAUAUUUUUAUCAUCUUAAGUACUUUUGCUUAUGUUUACUUGAAAUGCAUACUUUAUUUCUUUUAUAUAUUAUUACAAAACUUAAUUGUAAUAAUAUAUAUAUAUAUAUAUCUAGGAGUAGAAGGAGAUAUAAUUAUUUCAUUAAAAGAUAAAUUAAACAAUUUAAAUGUUUCCUACAUUAAAAAUAAUAGUAAACAUAAACCCUAAAAAUUUAGACUAAUUUUCUCCUAAACUUACCAAAAAGAUACAUCAUUUAAACAAAACUUGCUAGCUAAUCAUUGUUGAUUAUUGGAUGAGUGCUCUUUCAAUUCAGUAUUAUUUUUGUUAAUGAAAAUGGCAUAAAAUGAGUCAUUUUCAUCCUAAUGAAUAGAGGAAAAGUCAAUCAAACCCUACAUCUUUAUAAAUGGAUAUGCAUUGAUUAAUUGUGUCAUACCCAUAGGGAUGUUUUCGUUGUUGUUAUUAUUAUUUACCUUAAACUGAAAAUAAAUGCUUACUUAAUUAACUUAUUCUUGUGGUUGGCCACAGCUUUUUUUUUAGAAGAAAAACAAGGCCAAGGAGAAAAUAAUUUUGAAGCUUUGAUAAACAGAAUGGCAAAAGUUGAAAAGGCAAUGAAGAAAAUUAUUCCCACAAUCCCAACUAUAGAAAAAUGAAUUAAAUCAUAUAAUUCUAAAAGUGAAAAACCUACCAAUUAGUAGAUUAGUUAGAAGUUUGAAUAUAAAUUAGAGAAUUACACAACCUUUCAAUCCCAAACUGGAACCAUAGUAUAAAAAAUAAUUAAAGUUUCACAUAUGGCAUCUCUCAAUUUGAUUCCAUCUAUUGAAACUAAUCCCAAGUUGUAUUUAUUUAUUUAUUUUUGUUAUAUUAUUAUUAUAUAAUUAAUUAACAAUAAUUCAUAGAUGAUGAAUGUCAACGGUCAGAAAUCUCUGCCCUUCCAUUUCCUUCCCUUUCUCCAAACUUCAAUUAACAUUACAAAAUAUUUUUCUCUCUAUAUAUAUUCAUAUUCCCUCCUCCCUCUCUCUAAAAAAUUAUCCAUUUUCCCCCUCUUUUAAUCAAACUCUUAACUUCCAAUUAAAUUCACAUUCAAAUCCAAUCCCAAAUCUCUCUCUGUUUUCCCUAAUUAAUCAUUAAGCUUUCAUCCACCAUGAGCCCACCAAAAUCUUCCGAAAUCAAUGGCCCUCGCCCUUCUCCUCUCUUAAUCCACAACCAUUCUCGUCUUAUUCGUAAGCCCGUCCAGCUCCGGCAGCCACUCAUCAUUUACACCCAUUCCCCCAAAAUCAUCCACACCCACCCUAAGGAUUUCAUGGCAUUGGUUCAACGCCUCACUGGCUGCAACCCACCACCGCCGCUGCCGCUGCCGUCUGCCAAACCCUCCUUGUCGGAGAGAAAUUUGAACGACAACGAUUCAUCGUCGGGUGUGACGACGGAGGAGGAUAUUAAUGAAAAACAGAGUAAUUGUUCUGUUCUUAAAUAUUCUUCUCAUGAUGUUACGACGCCGUUUUCCUCCCCUGCUUUCCUUAGCUCCUCCUUAUCCCCUUCUUUCAUGGACUUUCUUAAAGCCCUCCCCGAAUUUUAAUUCUUCUUCAUCUUCUUCCCAAUUCUCUCUGUUUUCUUACAUUUUUUCUUUUUUACUUUCCUUUGGAAUUACAGAUUGUAUAAUUGUUAAUUACUUACACACAAGAAUUCAAUUCAUUCUUUGAUUACUGUUUUUCUUUUUCUUUUUACAUUUUUCAAUUUAGUUGUUUCUGCUUGAAGAUUUGAUGAAUGAUCUGGGUUUGAGUUUGCUUUGUUGGUUUAUAUUGUUAAUUGAUUUAUUGGGUAUCUGAUGAAGAUGGAUUAUCCACCCUAUUGUAAUUAAUCCAUUCUUAAUAAUGUUUGUUUAAAAGUCAACUUGCUUAAAUUUAUUAAAAACCAUAUAUUUAUAUACAUCAUUUUAAUUAAUUAAUUUUACUAUAUUUGAUAUAUUAAAAAGGUUUUGAAUGAAAUAAUGUAUAUAACUUAUUCCUAGAAGUUAAGAGGGGGUGGAGUUGUUAUUUGUUGAGCACACCUUGUAUUACUAUAGACUAAAGAAGUAUGUGAUGGGUCCAUAGGAUUGAAUUCUAACCUUAUUAUAAUUUCCUCUUCCUUUCUUUUGUGUUAUACUUUCUUGUUUUAUAUUUUAUUUUAAUCUAAACUUUUUAGUCUAACUCUCUGUUUUGACCAUGUGAUUAUGACUUUUAAUUUAUCUUAUUAUUAAAAGUCAAAUAUGAAAUGUGUGUAAUACUUGGAUUAUGAUCAAAUAUUUGACAUCUAAAUUUGAAUAUUGGUUAAUUUUUUGCUUAGAUAAACCCUAAUAUGUUACAAAUUUAAAAUUAGGAGUAAUAUAUUAAAUCUAUCCCAAACUAAACAAAAAUGUAGAUUGUAUACUAACUUGAGCACUGAGUUAAUAUGUUCGACAACAAAAAAAAAAAAAAGUAUAGUUUGAAUAUCUUUCUACACUAAAAUAGAGAAAUAAGGAAUUCUUAGAAGAAGAAACAUUUUAUAUUGGAAAAAAUUCUUCUAUGUUAGCAAGUGAUUGGAAUGACUAUGAAUUAAUCUUUAAAAUAAAGGAUAUGAUCUUAUAUAUUGUGGCUUUUGUGGAAAUACUAUCAACAAGUAAUUUAAUUUUGUUCCUUGUAAUGUUGAUGUAAAUACUAAAAUAGCUUAUCUUUUAUCGUGUAAAAGAAAUAUAGGUUGAAAUUUGUUAGUUAUAACUUCCAAAAUCGGAGUGAGGUGAACUUACAUAUUUUACGUAAUCACUUUGAGAAUCAUGUGUUCUUCUCCUCCUUCUUCCUCUUCUACAAAUAAAAUCAUCAGUAAAACUAAAAACCCAUAAAAGAAAUAGAUAAAAUAAAGUAAAGAAAAAGAAAGAUUGAAGAGGUUUCUUAAUUUUUUCUAAUCAACAGGAAAAAAAUAUGACAGUAAAGAGAUAACCUACUUUUACAUACAAAGAGGUGAACUCUUUCUCACCACAUAUUCUAUAAUAUACAUUAAUAUGAAGUGAUUGUUCAGUUAAAUAACUCGUAAAUAACAGGUAAUAGUGUUUAAAGGCAAAGACAAUUGUACUUUGGUUGCAUCCAUCGAGAGAAUAACAAAAUUUGUUAAUGUAUAUAUGCACUGGUCAUUGUUAAAGAGAGGGAGAGUCAACAACGAAAGGGUGGGUAUAAGGUUUUCCAAAGCAUUUGGGCUUGGUUUAGUUGAAGCCCAAGGAAUCAUUGGGCCUUUAAAGAAUGGACCAUGAUAAUACUCAACCCUAAUGUAAUAGAUGGGAUAUAGAUAUCUAAUCCUAUAAUAAGUAACGAAUUGAGGCAAUAUGAAAAGAAUAAUAAUAAUAAUCUUAUUACUGUUAAUAUUCAUUUUCUUUUAUCAAUUAACCAUUCAUCAGUUGAUGUGAUGAUAUGAUUAAUAGUGGGUGAUUUUUGUCAAAAUAACUAUGAAACACUCUAUAAUAAUAAUUAUUAUUGUAUUUAAUUAUGAUUGUAAUGAUAAUUAGGAUAGAAUUGAGUGAACAAGAUAUCUAUUUAAUGUUGUUUGGUUUAUUGUUCUAUCAUAACUUUGUUAUCAAAAAUUCUUUGUUCCUUCUAAACUCAAUUUAUAAAAGUUGACAUUUUCAACUAGUAUUACUCACAAUACCAUUUUUUACUCAUCUUAAUUGUGGUAUAUAUGUGGAGGGCAAAAAAUAUAAUAAUCAUAUAUUAGGCAAUUAAAUUAGGUUAAAAAAUAAAAUAUGAAGAUUUGGGAGUCAUAGAAGAAAGUUUGGAAGUUUGGAAGUUGAAGUAAUUUGGCGAUGGUUAGACGCAACAGGUCCUUUCUUGUCGUGUAAUAUCUUAUAAAAGCACCAAAUUGUUGACCAAAAUUGAAGUGUCAAUUCUUCUAAACUCUUCUUACUUAAUUACCAAUCCCAAUCAAUCUCUCUCCUAUUUGAACAAAUAUUCAUUCAUCUAAUAUGAUUCACUCGUGUGUAUCCGAGUUUAUUUUCUUGUGGGAAUAAUUAUGGCUAAUCUAAUCAACAAGAUUAAACAAACAACCACUUUUGAUUCCUAUUAUUAAUUUAUUUAUCUUACUUCCAACAAAAUUAAAACCAUAGCCAGGUGUAGAUGUCGGACAAGAAACAUAUAUAUAUAUCAUCAAUUUCAUAAUUAUUUCGGCUCCAAUAAUAAAAUUAAAAUAUUACAUUAUUUACAAUCUGUUUCUUUGUCCUAUUUUUUCUUUUUUUUUUCUUUUUUAAAAAAAGGCUGUGGCUGAUUCACCCAUUAAUGAUUAAGGGAGAAUCGAAAACAGCUAUUUUCUAACCAACCCGAGUCACCGCCCGAGUCUCUUCCAACUCACCCCUGACUCGGAUUUUUCUUUUCUUCCUCUCAUACUAUUCCGCCGAAACCAUAACCGCGUCUGCGUCGAACCAAGUCUCCAUAUCCGCCGCCGUUAAAUUCUCUAGAGGCGACUUCAUGUUUCUCACGUCACCCACCGUUAUUUUUUCCCCGGAUUCGUUUCUAAGGUACACCUUUUGCUCACCGGAAAAUUUUACUCCCAAAACCUUUCCGGCAACCGGCUUCCACUCGGCUAUUAAUGCUGGGAUUUGACAACCCAUGCGCGUGUCCCAGAUAUUCACCGAUGUCUUACUCGAAACGUUCGUUGUUGUUGAUAACAGUAACGUCGACGUCAACGACGGUGCUAUUUGCGAUUUUCCGGCUAAAAUGGACCCGAUUGUUUGCUCUUUGAUUACAUCGUGGACGCGGAUUUCAUUCGUGUCGGAGUCACAGUGAUCGAAUUCGAAUCUGAGAUUGUCCCAUAACUUCACCACGCUUUUACCUCCGGUGAAAUCGGCCCAUGAGAACUGUUCGCCUUCUCCGUCUUGGUUGUGGAAGCUCCGUCUGUGCCGAAGUCUCAGAGUUUGUUUCGUUUUGUCAUCGUUCAAAUAGUAAUCGGAGCCUCUAACGUGAAAAUCCUGGUCAGUCAAGUCCCAGCUAAAGGAAGACGAGGAUGCAGGCUCAUCAACAUCGUCUUCUUCAAACUCCGACCAAACCGAUGAAACAGAACUAGCAGAAUCGUCGACAGAGUACUCAGUAUCGGAGUCAGAAUCAUAAACAAUUUCCUGCAGAAUACGUUUCUGUCGUCGGAAUAUUACAAACAAUAGCUUAAUCCGGUUGAUUACGCCGCUGAAUGUAGCAACAACGGCGAUAAUCACAGCGCUCCAUUUCCAGAGAUCUAAAGAACGAGAAAGCGUUUGAAAUCCAGAUGGGGAUGUCAAAAUUUGGGGUAAAAGAGUGGGAUUUGGCAAGGAACUCAUCCCGGAUUCCAAGCCACUAAACCUGUUAAUGACGGGAAUCUCCAUCUAUCUCAACCUCAGUGGUUUAGGUAGAACAGCAAGAAAGAAACAAGCAGAGAUUUAAAGGAGAGAAACAAAAAUCAAGAAUCGGAAUUGAGAUGGGGAAUAUUCGGAUAAAAAGAAAUAAAAGAGAGAGAAGAAGAAGAAGAAGGAUAUUGUGUGUUAGGGUUUGGUGGAAAGAAUUGCGAUGGCGAGAGAGGAGAGGGAAAAGGAAAGAGGGAGAGGAGAUUUUUAAGGGCGAAGCAAAAAGAUAAAAUCAAAGGAGAGAGUGAGGUGGAAGAGAAGGAUUGGGUAAGGGAGAGUAUGAGAGAGAUCCACGUCAGAAAAAAGAGCAAGAAAUUUUGGUAGGGAAGUAAGAGAGAGCUGAGGUGGAAUAGGAUCGAAGGGAAUCAAAUUAAAAAUAUUCGGUCCGUCUUGGGAAAACGUCCGGUCAUAAAUUAUUGAGGGUUUUUUAUUUUUCACAAUAGUGCCAUUGUGAUGGUGACACGUGGGGACAGGUUAGUGAUCCAUUGGCUCUUAUGAAGUAUGGUAGGACCUCGUUUAUGAAAAAUCGUAUGAUUCAAAUGUUGACAUGACACUGGUGGUCACUGCUGGGCGGUGCUGGAAUCACCACCAUAAACUUCUCACAAUCUUUUCAAAUUUAUAACUAUAUAAAUACACAUCCCCAUUAUGUAUUGUAGCUCUAUAAUAAACUAUAUAAAUCAUUUUCAAUCAUAUAACUACCAUUCCAUCAACACUUAUUUCUACUCAAUUUCCACAUCAACCCUAAUAUUAUACCAUUUUUACCAUACAAAACCUUCUUACACAGUCACAUUUCAUUCAUUUCAAUCCAUCAUUCAUCUUCUUUCUUUUUCUAAUCUCAAUUCAUCCUAAUUGGUACGAUGACUUAUCAUCCCAUAUAUACUCAUAUAUGUAUGUAUAAAGUUUGUUUGUUUGCAUAUGAGAAUUAUUGUCUACAUAUGUUUAACAAACUAUAGAACAUAUAUCACAUAAGGAAUAAAUGGCUAUAAAUAAAAGUUGUAUAUCUUUGUUUUGUUUUGUUUUUUCUUAAAAACUUAUGAGAUGAGAGAGUUUUUAUCGAUGGUCAAUUGUAUCCAUUAAUUAAGAACAAUUUUACAUCAUAUUUGAUCUUCUUGGAUUUAUAAAAAAAAAAAAAAUCUUGCUAAUUGUAGACCCCAUCCACUUAUUUUAUUUAGCUAGGUUUUUCAAAUAAAUGAAAUUAUAACUAUUGUAUUUAACAAUAACAACCGUUAUAUGUGUUUGUUAUCAUUAAACUAUACUCAACUUACAUUAUUUGAAGAAAUUUAUGAUUAAUUAAAACAAACUCAUUCUAAAUUUUUGGUACAAUACAAGUAUUAACAUUUACAACUUUAAAUAUAUGUACUUGAAAGAGUAAAGUAAUAAUCUUUGAAAAAGCCGUUAUAAUAAGAAAGUUAAGUAGCAAUUUUUUUCGUCUGCUUCUAGAAAUGAUCUAACUAAGGAAUAAGACAUUGAAUUUGAGUCAAUUUAAAAAUGAGUUUGAAGUGAUAGCAAAAGGCAUUAAAUAGAUUAAAAGGGACACAUGAGGUUUCUUUAAAUUAACACAUAAUUCAUAAAUUAAAGAGGGAGAGAGGGAGAGAGGGAGAGAAAAAAGAAAAGUUGUGUGAAAGCAAAAGUGAGAAAAAGAUGGAUUUCUUACCUUAAAAAGAGUAAUUAAAAAUGUGGUUGCCUUUUGUUACACUUUCAAACUAUAUAUUAAAAAAGUUGGUUGAGGUGAGAGUUAGACCAUUGAGUUUUAGUUUCGUAAGUGGUUGGUGAAGAAGCAUUUUACCCUUUCAAAUUGAGUUCUUCCAAUUUAAUGCUUUUUCAAAGUUACUGGUUUAUUAGAAAGUAAAAGAAAAUUAUUAUAUCUGAUAGUUCUAAUUUGAUUAUUUAAAUUCCUAUAGAAUAGGUUUUUCAAAGUAAGCGUCAAAUUAAUAUUCUUCCUCCAGACAUGCCUUCCACAAAAUCAUUUCAAUAUAUAAUAUAUGCUGAUUGUUCUUUUCCUUAUAAGGACCAAAAGAAUUCCUAAUCUUAUAUAGCAACAAAUUCAAUUUUAAAUAAUUUUCAUAUAUGGCAGCACAUCAAAUUUGUCUUUUUCACUCAAUAUGAUCAUACCUUCAUGGAUUUUGUAUUUGUUAUUAUACUAACAAAUCAAUAGUUGUGGUACAAAAUUCGAUCUUACCUCUCAAUUAAAGUUUUGAUUUUAUCAUCUAUGAUUGUUUUAUUUAUAAAGUAGUAUCCAAUUUGAAUUAUAUAUACACUACAUUAUUUUUUUGUCUCUUUGGUUAAUAUUAAAUUUGCAACCUUCUUUUACUCGUGCAUUAAAAUUGACCUUUUUGUUUGUUUUCAAAUGUGGGAUGAAACGAAACACAUGGAUUGUAGUUUGAAUUUGAAUUCAAUUUGAAGCCGUGUGUUAAAUAUGUUAACUGCCUUUGCUUCCUUUGAAUACUUCUUCAUCUUUUAUUAAAAUCAACCUCUCUUCUUCCCCAGAUUCCAAUUAAAUUUGUAAUUAGUUUCUUAACAAUUAAAUAUUCUUUAUUAAUGAAAAGCUAAAGACUAAAACAAACUCUUUAAAAUAACGUAAAAGUAUUAUGAUCCAAAUAACCCAAAUCGAAAACAAAGCUUUCAUAAAGGCCACUUGAAAGAAAGAGUAGGUGAGGGGUGAGGGUUCAGAUGAUGCCUUUCACUGCUCCAAUUUAUUGAUCCAAGGAAUAUCAUUAAUAAUUGAAGUUAAAGGUAACCUAAAUUUUGUUGCCUCGCUAAUGUGAUUGAUAAUCAGACACUAAAUUUUAAUGAUAAGUAUAAGUUUAGGUAUAAAAAUUAAAAUAUAACUUACAAGCAUAAACAAUUUUUUAAAAUUAGAUUCUUUUUAAGUUUGGUAUAUGUCAGACACUAAUUUAAUUUAAAAACUUAUCUUUACUUUACAUUCAUAAUUUUAAAUUUAACGUCAACAAUAUUAUUAUGAUUAUAUAUACAUCAAUCAAAAUUUCAUAAUAUGCAAAACCUUACUCUCUAUAAGGGUUUUUAAAGCAUUGAAAGAGACAGAUGGAUUAUAUAUAUAUAUAUGAAGACAUAAAAAGUGUAAAUUAGAUGAUGGAAUUGAGGUCCCAUCCCCUAAUAAUAAUAAACACAUUUUAAAUUUGUUAGAGUUAUAUGUUGAUAUUAAUAAUUAAAAUCAUAUUAUUGGUUGGGGUUUGGGAACCACAAAAAAAAGUCACUAUCAGUUAUUUAAAAAAUUGAGAAUUGGUAUUUUUUGUUAAUUAAGAUGAUAAAGAAGCCACGUUAUUGUUAUACCAAACGCUGUCUUAUCGCUUCAUAAAAAGUCAAGUCUCCUUUAUGCCUUUCUAUCAAUUAUCAAAUUCCUUUUUCUUUUUUAUUUCUUCAACAAUAACAUUUAUUCGGAUUUUCAUAAUUCAAUCAAAUUCAUGUUAUUUAUCUAUUUAUUUACUUUUUUUAAGAAAUAAACAAAUGAACAAUAAUUCGGUAUGAGUCAUACCAACUUUAGUUUAACAUUAAAAAAAACCAAAUCUUAUUUGUUUAAAAGAAAUCUCAAACAAAUCUCUAUAAAGAUUAGAUGUAUGGAAAAAGAAAUGGGCCCAUGACACGAGGUUUGGCCUCGGCCAGGGCCUCAACCUCGAGCCAUGCCGAGGUUGACCCAAGGAACAUGUCAAUAGAGAGAACAUGUACGUGCAAGUUUAGAAAGUUUAUCGUUUUAAGAUUUGUUAGUGAAGAUUUUGCUACAAAGUUCAUUUCUGGAAAAUGUUUAUAAGUUUGUUAUAAUUUAAAAGGAUUACAGAUUUGAUCUUAUUGUUUCAAAUAUUCACUUCAAUUUUAUUCUUGAUUUGAAAAAAAAACAAAACCGAUACUUUCCCUAAUUUGAUCACACCCCAAUGAAUGGGAUCAGUAUCAGUGAUUACUGUGUGUUACAUCAACUAAACUCUACACACAAAAGAAAGCUUUUCAUUCAAACAUUUUUUCACAAAAGAAAAAAUCAACCGAAUCCAGAAAUGGUUUCACUAACAAAGUAACGGCUCAAUUUUUAAAAGAACUUUACCUUAAUUUCUUGCGGAAAUGGAUGAACCUUUUUGGAAACCAGCUUCCGCCUAACUGAGCAAUUAGCAUAGUAGGGAACUUUCCAAAACUGGCUGCAAUUUCAUCCCUUCAUGUAAUACAUUUCUUCCAUUGCUCCUUGUAUUUAACCAAAUACAAACUCAUAAAUCAACCAGAAGGAGUUUUUCUUUAAAAUGGAGAAAUGUAGAUUUCUGAUAGUGGCCUUUUUGUCGUUGGUGUUCAUCUUUCCUGUUAGCUUUGGUUGGGGAAUUGACGGCCAUUUUACUGUCUGCAAAAUCGCUCAGGUUCUUCUCUUCACAUUCUUUCACAAACCCUUUUCUCAAGUUUACCUUUUCUCAUGAAAACUUUUGAUCUUUGUUUUGUGUUGCUAACAGUCACGGUUGAGCAAAGCAGCAGCAGAUGCAGUACAAGAACUGUUGCCAGAGUCCGCACAGGGAGAUUUAGCAAGCGUUUGCAUUUGGGCAGACAGAGUUAAGUUUCGUUAUCGUUGGUCCCCUCCUCUUCAUUUCAUUGAUACUCCAGAUUCCCUUUGUACUUACCAGUAUGACAGUUGAGUUACCUCUUUUAUCUCCAUUCUUCUCUGUAGUCUGUUCUAAUUUCUCCCAGCCUUCUUCUCUUAUGGUUUUAAAAAUCUUGUCAUUUGAAUCUCUUAGGAGACUGCAAAGAUGAAGCUGGAGAGAAAGGACGGUGUGUUGCUGGCGCCAUUAACAACUAUACUUCCCAGCUUCUAACCUACAAUGCUCAACCUUCUAACUCUGAAUGUAAUUUUCAAGAAAACGAGAAUCUUAUAUACUUUGCUUUCAAUGAGAAACCGAUGAAAUUGCUAAUAUGCUAUGACUUUUUCAUAAGCAGAUAACCUGACUGAAGCGCUGCUUUUUCUUUCACAUUUCAUGGGAGACAUCCAUCAGGUAUGAUAUGAAGUUUAUGUACAUGUUGUGUGCAAUUACUUACUGAAAUGAACUUACGUAAAAUGCAGCCUUUGCACGUGGGCUUCACGGGAGACAGGGGAGGAAACACAAUCGACGUUCAUUGGUACACCAGGAAGCAAAAUCUUCACCAUGUAAAUAUAAUUACCCAACUUUAUCUCUAUAUCUUGGAAGUUUCCAGUUUUGAAUCAGUGAAAAUACUGUAUUUCUCGUGAUUCUAACAGAUAUGGGACAGCAACAUAAUCGAAACAGCAGAGGGCAAAUUCUACGACUUCAGUGUGGAUGGCCUAGUUGAUGCAAUCCAAACAAAUAUAAAGGUUACAUAAUUGAUAAUUCUAUGUCCAAAUCAAUUUGAGAAACAAAGCCUGAUUCUUAUCAAUACUAAGCAAUUCUAAUGCAUUUUUGUCCCCUUUUGGUGUCCUGAUCAACAGAAUGAAUGGGCAGAUCAAGUUGAAGAAUGGGAAAAGUGUGGUUCUGAUGAAGUACCAUGCACUGAAAUGUAUGUGGCACAAGAAACAGUCUGUUAAUCCUUCAAUUAUAGAACAUGAACUUCCAAUAAUUUACCACCAGUUUUCAUUGAAAUAUUCAGAUAUGCAUCAGAAAGUAUUCAGGCAGCCUGUGACUGGGCAUACAAAGGCGUUUCUGAAGGUUCUACACUAGCAGGUAGAUUUCUUACAAAACUUGGUUCAGUUGUUCUUUGAGCAGAAGAGUUUUUAACUUGAAAAAAUUGCGAUGCAGAGAAAUAUUUUGCCUCCCGUGUGCCAGUCUUGAAGCUACGGUUGGCACAAGGUGGAGUCAGAUUAGCAGCUGCUUUAAAUCGCAUCUUUGGUUCAUAGACAUUCCUCUAGUCUAUACUAUUACGAAAAGGCCUGCAAGAAAUAGUUAUUCUUCAAGUUAGUGCUGAAAAGUUGACCUUAAUAUAAGUCUAUGUAAUCUUGUAAAACAAUCAACGCCAUGAGGUGAAUAAAGUUCUUCCAGGAAUAUCAUUCUCCUUGACUGACUUAUUUCUUUCCUUUUAAUUACUUUAUCUAGUCCAUGCCACUUUUAGCUUAGCAUCUUUCUUGUCAACUAUAGUUCUCUCAAUUCAAACAAAAAGAAACAAAAGGAGCUACAUUGCAAACACUUUUCCCUUUACCAGAAUAAAAAUUCGAAAACAAUAUGUUUAGUUAUGCUUAUAACAACCUUACAAAAUUUGCUUUUCUUUCCCACUUUAUCAGUUUAUUUUGCAUAUGACCUGUUUCUGAGAAGUACCAAGGAAGGUCUUCUCAACCUGAAUUUGUAAAUGAUGACAUGUCGUGUAUUGGUAAAAUUAGGUAAAAUCUACUAGUCUUGAAAUCAAAAGUAGAAAGUGAUUAUGUAGAAAAAGACUUCGAUGUAGCUUCCAAGCCAUUCAAACAAACUUGAAUAGUCAAAAUGGGAAGAUUGUGUCUCAUGCUUGUGUGCUUUUCUUCCACCGACCACCACAAUCUAAUUGAUAUUUCGUAGACUAGUAAGCAGAAUAUGCAAUCUGAUUACAUGAUAACAAGCUGAGCACACACAAUCUAUUGCUUCAUAGUCAACUUAAUCGCACAAGUAGAUUGACACAACCUCGUUGUAAAUAAAUCAAGAUUAAAUAACUAAGGCAUAACUCUAAUUUAGUUUAGUGAGCAAAGCAGCAAACGUUACCUUUCUAUGGUUUCUUCACAACAAGGACAGGACACUUGGCAUUUUGAACGCAAUAGUUACUCACACUCCCUAUAAGAGCUCUGUAUGAGAUAAACAUUAAUUUCAUCAGCAUCUAAGACAAACCCAUUAUAGUCGAGAAGGGGAAAAAUUAAUAAAAACAAAGAAAACAAAGAAUGUACAUCUAUUAAUCUAAAUCGAUUGACACUCUGCAAGUAACAAAAGUGAAAACUUAAGCUUUCAAAUUCUUAAGUAUCAUCAUUUUAAAUGUAAUGGAUACUAAGCAUGGUUUAAGAAACUAUGCAGGUAUUUUGACAUCUAAUGAGAAUUGUUCUAAACAAGUUUAAGAAACUGGUCAAAAGGCUCCAUAAAAACAUAUUUUGAAAACAAAGACUCUUCUCCUGAACUAACCUCUUAAUUCUCCCAAGGCCACGAUCACCCAAAACAAGCAAACUUAUAUUCAGCUUUUCAACCGUAUCACAUAUGGUCUUUCCAGGGUCCCCAUCUUCUGUGAUGGAUAUAGCAGCCACCUGGAGAACUAAGAACAACAGUUACUAAUUUUGUUCAGUAUAUAAUACAAUUUAUGUUAUCAAGAAACAAACAGUAAACAAAGUACUUCUACAACAAGAUGGAUGUUCUUGAAUUAAACUAAAUUUUAGACUAUGAGAAGAAUCCUAUCAUACCCCUCUUCCAGCACAUAUAUCCUUUGCUUUCUCAAGAAGACCGCAUCUAAGUUUCUUAUCAUUCUCUUGAAGAGUACGAACAAACUCCGUAUCUAUUGUGCAUAAAGAGAAAGUUAAGCAAAACAGAAAUGGGAUGAAAGUGAAAAGAUGAGCAAUACUUAACUGGAUGGAAGUGGGAAAUAGGAGCGAGCGAGGCCGGAGGUGUAAGUGGUGGGGGGCGGAGGUAGAGCCGUGAAGAGGAAAAGUGGGGAACUGGCUAUGGAUUCUUUAAGAUUUUCAAGCACCCAGAUUAGGGCAUAGUAGCUAUACUCACUCUCGUCUAUGGCCACCAUUACUCUCUUCUCCAUUGCUGGGUUUGAUUGGUAAAGGGGAAACAGCUAAAGCCCAUAAAGUGAAUUACGCCAUUGAAGCUGUAGCUCAGCUUCAAUUCAUCCUUGCCUUGGAGUGUUCAUGGAGAAAAUUGAUGGUGAGUUUUCUUAGUUUCUAAUUUAUGGAACAGUUUAAAAUUAUUCACAGAAAAUGAAUAAAAAAAGCAACGAAAUUAAUAUUUUUUCACAAAUUUACAUUUGAUUUUGAAUUUUUGAUUCCCAUCCUGUAUGUACUUACACAUUUUGAGGUUGUUUUUAGUCUGUAAUCUUUCUUGUCAACCUCUUUUUACCGUUAUCGUUAUUGUUAUCAUCUAAAAUCAAUCGAUGAUGGUAAUAAUUCAUAAUUCUUCGAAUUUAACUGUAACAAUAUAUAUAACGAUAACUAUAAAACUUACAUAAUUAACCUCUUUUACUUUGACUCGAGAAAAAAAUAGACUACAUCUAUGAUCAAAUUUGAUUUCAUGUAGUACAACAUGUUAAAUAGAUAACCAUAUAUUAUUAGAAUACACAGACUAUACAGUAAUCUAAUUUAAAUAUUGAAAAUUCUAGGAAAACUAUAGUUGAAGAUUUGUUCGAAAUUACAUUACAUGAACGGAAAUGAUAAAAUCAAAGUUGAUUGUUGUUAUUUUAAUUUGAACAACAUAUAGAAAUGAAAAGAUUGGAAAGAUGCCAACAGUACUAAUUUUGUUCUGUUUUGAAGUGAUGUUGUUGUUUCCCAACAUAAUCAGCAAAUUUUGAGAAAAACUCUUGAGGGAUUCGAACUGGACGAUUGUUUUUAUUAAUCCAUACUGCUGUAGCCUUUGCAUCUAAGAUUGCCUGUUUGCAAAUUGCAAUACAAUCACAUACAAACACUAAUUGAAUAAUCAACCAUCUAGGUAUGUUUAAUUUAAUUUCAUUACUCACUACUACUAACCUCCAUAUUUGGAAGCUUGAAAAUCAAGUGAUGAAUAUAGAUCCGAACGUUUGAGAUUCCGAACACCCUCACUUUAAGAACAAAUCUCUCUCCACUCUAUAUUUGAUCAUAAUUCUAUAAGUUUUUGUAGUUUGAUUAAACCAAAAUUUAUAGUAAUAAAUGGGUUAGUUAUGUUAUGGUUAAUUAAUCCAUACUCUAAGUGAUGAAAGGAAUUUCAUGGACAAAUCUGAUAGCGCUAAUGAUUCCCCUCUCCGAGUAAUUGCAUCCCGACUCACUCCCAUCUUUUCUAGCAAUUCGUGACGACCUGUUUAAUUACAAUUAUAAAACUUACCUUAUCAAUUUAACAGAAGUUUCGAGUUUAGAUCAGCUUGACCAUGGUAGCAAUAAUCUGCAUAAACAGCAUUGUUGACUACACCGAAUUGAUCCAGCUCGUAAUCACGAACUUUGAGCUCAAAAUCUUGGUACCCAUCCAUCUUGUAACCUUGACUGUCAAUCAACAAUGUUGGUUUUUUUAGUUUAUAUAAUUGUUGGUUAGUGGUGAUGAACAGAAAACAGAGUACCUAAUGGAAACUUUUUGAGAAACAGAGGUUCUUGUUUUGGUGAAGAAAAAUGGUGAAGAAGAAGAAGAAGAAGAAGAAGAAGGGAAUUUGGUUUUAGUAGGUGAAAAUUGAAGAAUUGGAUUCAUGGAAACUGCUUGAAACUGCAACAUUUCUUCUAAUUGCUCACUUAAUUUUCUUUAGUAUCCAUGAGAAUAUGGGGAAUGUUAAUAGUAUUAAUAAUAUGGACACUCUGUUUCUUCUUAAUUUUUCAUUAACGAUUUUAUAACAAAUUAGUGUUAUUAAUUAUGUGUAAUUAUUGUUACUAUUAAUAUCAGCAAUCAAAGCUUUGAAUUAAAUUACAUUUAAUUUCUUUAGUGGAAUUUUGCAUUGCUUCAAACUAGGGUUGGGCACCUAACGAUUGUGGCCAUGCCACCCACUUAUAAUUAAUAUAUCAAUUACAGUUCGACAAAAAAAUCUAAAAGUUGAAAAACCAAACCAAACCAAACCAAACCUUGGUUUGAUUUUUAGUAUAAAGUUGGACGUGUUAGUUUGUAUUUGAAGAAAACAAAAAGAAGUAUUGGUUUGAAUUGAUUGUUUAUUAGAAAAUUAAUCAAAACAUAACCGAAUCGAACUAAUGGUAUGUAGAGUAUAUAUGUCUUGAAAAUAAACUCUUCAUUCGAUAUUUUUUAAUAUUUUAAAUUUAACUCAUGCAUAUUUAUUUAUUUAAAAACCGAAUAUUAUAGAGCAGGUACUAUUUUUAUUUAGAAAAGCCACCUAACAUUUCAAUUUUCAAAACAAGUUGAAAGUAAAAAGUAAAAAGUAAAAAGAGAGUGCAAAAAGUCUAAAACAAAACAGAUAAUAAAUAGAUACAAAUAAAACAAAUCUAUUAGUUUGUUCUUCAUUGGACAUUAGUUUGGAACUCUUAUAUCUAAAUUGGAUUGCUUCAAUUUAAUUCUUGAUUGGUCUUAAAAUCAAAGAAACCUUACCAACUAUCCUUCCUAAUAUCACAAUAUGGUUUAGUCUGUUUCUACAUUUGAGUCAGGUUGAUGAAGAUAUAUCUAUUUAUUUUUUGCUCCAAAUCCCUCAUCAUAGGAAUUACGCACAUAAUUAGAGUUCAACUGGAUUUGAUGAAAAUAUCUUAAAUGGAUAGUUUGGUUAAAAAAGUCGUUUUCUCUAACCUUUAUUUAAAUUUUGUCACAAUCUAGUUAUUGAACUUUAUAAUGUAAAGUUAUUUGAAUGUGUAACAAUAUAGUGUUUAGAUCAAUCAAUUAAUUAGACUCUUCCAUUUAAGAUAUAUCAACAAAUCGACCAAUAUUUUAAUAAUUGAAAAAAAGUCAUAAAACAAAAUAGAUUCCUCAAUUACAAAGUGGUGAAAACAGUGUAUAUAUAUAUAUAUAUUAUGUAUUUGAAAAUAUUCUCGAGUGCCAAUAUGAAAAGCUUCAACUUUUUUCUUUCUCAGAUGGAGAAGAUGGAUAUCAGUAUGAAACUUUUAUCCUGUAUAAAAAUCUACAACUUAUGGAAUAGAUCUUGUUCAGUUAGUUCGUUUCAUCGAACAAUAUGCUUUUUACCACUGCAAAACCUAUGAAAAUCAGAGUGAUGUUGUGUGUAUAUGAACUACAGUUUGAGAAAACGCAAGAAUAUUCAUUACUAUGGAUGGACUUUGGUAUAUGAAUCAGAUAUGUGCUGAGUACCUCCUAUUUUAGCCUUCUCCAGAAGAUACAAAAUAUCAUCUCAAAGUUGAUCACUUGGACUCGUGAUCUUGAACAAAUUGACCAAAUUUGGAUAGAAACUCUUGUGGAAUACGCACUGGGCGAUAACUUUUGUUAAGCCAAACUGCUGUACCCUUCGCCUCCAAGAUUGGCUACGGAAAGAAAACAAGACAGGAAAUGGUAUUAUAAAGUUACCGCAAUCAUCCAGAUAAGUUGAUAUACUUAGGCAAAUUAUAGGAUCCAAUACCAACCUCCAUAUUUGGAAGCUUGAAAAUUAAAUGAUCAAUGUAGAAGCGAGCAACUGAUAUGCCCGAGAUCCUCACUUUAACAACAAAUUUGUCACCACUCUAGUUGCAUUCAUAAGACAAUAUAAGAGUAGUAAGAUAUUGAGUAAAUAAAUUGUUUUUAUAGCUUAAAUUGUUCUAUCAGUUAUCGGUCAUUCAAUGUUAACUACAAAAGAUAUCGUACUCUAAGUGGUGCGAGGAACUUCAAAGACAAUUCUGAUAAAGCUAAUGCAUCUCCAUCACGAGCAACUGCAUCUGGACUGAGGCCUAUACUUUCCAGCAGUUCAUGACGACCUGAUUAAGUCCUCGAUUUAAUGUCUUUUAAAUCAAAUAUAACAUGUUUUGAAUUCAGCAAUAACGCUUUGAGAAUAGUAAGGUUCAAGUAAUCAUGGUAAAACCGAAAAAUGAUUGAAAUCUUGGGGGAGAAAUAUAGUACUUCUAUGAUCUAUUUCCCAACUCAAUCGAAACACUUCAAAGUUUUGAGCCGAUGAACACCAAUUAAUAUUCAACAUUUUACAUCUUCCAGACAAAUGCCCCUCAAAUUUUAGACUUAUCAACUAUCAUGAAAAAAGGAUAUAGUUCAGUGAACAAAUGGAAUUGUCAAGAUAUCUUAAUGUUAACUUCAGCAAAAACAGAAAAGAAUAAUUUUUGGUGAUUUCAAACAGCAUUCUGUCUACAAACUAAAUAUUAUUAUUGAAGUAAUUGAUUCUUGCAUCAACCAUUUAUACUACUUAAAAACCACUUCCCCAGAAAAGAAAUAAUCGUAAUGGUUAUAAGCUACAAUGAAAUGUAAUGCUUAUUAACUUGAAACAUAAUUUCUGAGCACAUUAGACACAAACAAACACCAACAUUUGAAACGGUGAAGACUCCCUCCACACUUACAUACAAUCUUCUCACUGAAAUAAUGAAAAGAUACCCCCCAAAAAAAGAGGAGGGAGUGAGAGAAAAAACAGCAUAAAGAAACAGAACCCUGGAGAGGGAAAAUAAAGUCACCCCAAUUCACUCAAAGAUCAGUAGAAGAAAUAAGAAUAAUGAGCAAAAAAAUUUGAGAAAAAUAAUCACUAAGAAGCUUCAAAGAAGUGGAUAUUUGAUUUUACCAUGUUGGCAAUAACUUGCAUAAACAGCAUUGUUCACAACUCCAAAUUGAUCCAGCUCAUAAUCACGAACUUUGAGUUCAAUAUCUAGAAAACUAUCCAUCCUGUCAUGGUCAAGGUAUUACAUGCUCAAUCUCUAACAUUUUUCAAUAAUUUUAUCCAAACCAAAACAAAAGACAUCAAUUCAGGACAAUUUCAGCAGAAACAACAAUUACAAUGCAAAGGGCAAACAUCAAAAGAAUUCAUCCCCUAAUUGUAGAAACCGAUGCAGCUAUAUAUAAAAAAAAAAAAAAAAUCCAACACUCGUAAACAUGAAACGAUUAUCAAAAUCAUUAGCAAUUGUUCUCCCCGAGAGAAGGGGCGGGGAGACAUAAUGCGCGAAGGCCGCUAAUGUCGACGGAGCAAAAGCCGUGGGGGACAACAUAUGUCAAAGAUCUUAACAGAGAAUACUAAAUGGGAAAAAUAGAUUGAAAAUUCCUGAAAUGUGGAAAGUACCCUUUGCCGGCUUUGAGAUCAAAAGAAGAGGAGAUAGAGCUUCUGGUUGCUGGGAGAGAUCGUAGGCGUAAAGAUGUCGACGGCCGGGCAAUGGGGAAGACAACUGAUGGAGGGACUGGGAAGCCAUUAGUUUUUUGAUUGAAAAUCGGUGAGGGCGAUUGAAUCGGAGUAAUGGAAGACUGCAACAUCGCGCGGAUUCUUGUGCUGUCGUCGGCGGAUUUGUUGAGAAUGGCAAUCGGAGUGAAUUGGGUUUGUGAAUUUAGCGGGUCAGUGUGGUCGAGUGGUCUAAACCGCCACACCUAAAUUUUCGUCCUUCAGGGCGUGGGUUCAAAUCCCACAUCUUACAAAUAUGUUAAAUCUUAUUUCAAAGUUGUCUAGAAAGCAUUAGAAAUAGUCUUGUGGGAAAUAAUUUGCCUUACAAACUUUAGUUACCUCAGCUAAAUAUGUGCAUCCUUUGGAUAAGUUUGAAUUGAAAGAACUAAAAUCCCAUCAAAUACAUAUGUUGUUAAACACAAAAAGAAAUACACCAUAUUAUCAUUCUUUUUUUAAAAAAGAGACGAAUAUUGUGGCAAUUCACACGUACAUAUACAAGUUGAAUCAAUUUAAAAAAAAAUAACUCAACUUUAAACCCAAUUCCAAUAUAAUAAACUUGAAAAAUUAAAUCAAAUCCAACCCAAGUGUUGAAUUGAAAAUUUGAGCAAAUAACUUAAAAUAUGUUUGCUUAACCAAUUAGGUCUACCAAAGUUUUUUUGAUUAAAUUUGAACCUUCAAUCCAGUGAGGUCAGUCAAUUAACAGAGUAGAAUUUGUAUCAGUGGUAGUUAAAUCUUUGUUAACAGAAAGAAGAAAUGUUAUUUGAAGUAGAGUUAAGAAAACCGUAUUUGUUGGUUCAUGAGGUCACCAAAAAUUGACCUUCAUCAUUCUUAUUAUAAGUUGAUUGCUAUUCUUAAGUACCCCACUGUACAGUUUCUUUUUUCCUCUAAAAACGUAAAAAAUUGAAGGUAUUAAUCAAACCUAUUGGUCAUAACAUCAUGUCUGACUGUGUUCUUAGAAAAGAAAUUUCUAAAAAAACAAAUCAAAUCAACUCAUUCUCCCAUUGAGGAUGCAAAAAUUGUAAGGAAAAUAUAUUAUAAAAAGAAUAGUAGAUUUUGUCCACAUGUAAACUUGUCUAGGAAAGAAGCAAGGCCAAUACGCCACGGCGGACGAAUUCAACACCAACUGGCAUCAAUUCUUUGCAUUAACCUAUUAACCAAAUAUAAAUAUAUAUAUAUACACACACACAUACAUAAAGAUAGAGAGAGAGAGAUAUCUAUGUAUGUAUUAAGCCACCGCUCUCCACUUUCAAUUAAAGGAUUAAUUUUGGAACUAUUUUUGUUGAUCUCUUUUCACUAAAAAUUAAACAUUAUUCUUUAUUCAGGAAGAACACACAAGAAGAAUGAAAUGUAAUUAUAAUUAAUACACAAGAAUUAGCGUUCUCAAACCCAUGGAAUCAAAACACACAAAUACAUAAAUCUACUGGUUAAUCAAUGUGCAAUUAUUUCUUGAUUCCAGAAGAUGGAGCUUCAUCGUACGUCUUCAUCCAUGGAUUUUAAAGCUUAGCAACGUUGCAACUUGCCGGCCGGUGCUCUAACUUCUAACCCUCCUUCUCCCAUUCACUUCUCCUUACUAUCUAUCUCUGCACAAUCAAUUCCCACAGAUUUUAAGAUUGCUAUCAGACAAGGGUUAUUUGAAUGACGUUAGAUCGAAUCAGAUUUGUUAUCCGUACAUUUUCAAUCCAAAGCAAAAAAGAAAAACAGGUUCGACGCCCGGGAAAUUACCUUUCCGUUUUCUUGGAUUUCCGGCACCUCGUAGAGAUCGGGGGUGAUCUCCGUCAACCAUAAUCCUGGAAAAAGCGUCUGUAAAGGGAGAGGGAGAAAGAGUUUAAAACCCAAUUUCAGAUAAGAUUAAAAGAUUAAGGGAGAAAAAAAAAAUGGAGGAGGUGGAAGAAGAAAAAGAACCCUACAUCCAUUUGAUUUUGUACAAUUCUGGGCCUCUUUUUGGGCCGUCGCGGCGGCCUGCGUUCAAUCAUAGCCAUGAAAUCCUCUUCGAUCUCCUUUUUGGAAAGUGAUACCGAGAAUUUCUCCCUUUCCUUCUUCUCCGUUACCAAUCGCCGCCCUGAAGACUUCACGCUACCGCCGCCGUCACCGCUUCUCAACGGCGAAUUACGAAUCGCCUUUUUCUCCGACCUCCUCUCGAUCUUCAACACUUUACCACCACCGCCGCCGCCACCGCCGCCUUUACCUUCGGUAAUUGUAUCAAUCAGAGCCUUCGGUGCAGCCUUCCUCACCCUCAAACUCCACGGUUUUAACUCCUUCUCCGGUGCCGGUGCCGUCACCGACGCAGCCGGCGCCGCCGCCGGAAUUUUUUUCUCCGGGAUGGUCACAUCGCCGUCAUCGCCAUCGCCAUCAUCAUCGUCGACCACUCCAUCUCUCCAGAAUGCAACCUUCAUUCUAUCGGCAGCGGUUUUUAGAUCAAUCAUGAGUUUCUCUCUCACCGCCGCUAUAUCUUCAUCGCCAUCGUAAUUAUCGUGGAUCUUAGACUUAGAAGCCCUAGGUCUCUUGGCGGAAUCCUUAAAUAACGUGGGCUUGUCGGUGUGAAACUUCCGGCAGUUGAACCGGUGAGCGGAAGAAGGGCGGCGAUCGACGGGGGGAGGAAGGUCGUCGUCGUCGUCGGUGUGAGGGGCAUCGGAGUCCAAUUUCAUACAGCGUAGAUACCUCUGAUUUCCCCACUUCAAAAAAGGGAGGGUGAAAUUGUGAAGCGGCUUCGAUCUCUCGAGUCCCAUCGCCAUGGAGUUUAGUGGUGUUUGUUCGGAAUCGGCACAAACCAUAACCUGGCCGACAGAAAAUGGAAGGGAGAUCAGAUCGGUUCGCCUAAAACAAUACGGGAAGAGAAAAUAUGGAAAAGUUAUAGAGAUUUUUGAGGGUCCAUUGGUUGGUGAAAUUGUUCAUAUUACUUAGGUUGCGGGAACGGAAUAUCGCCGGAGAAGGGGAGAUUAUAUACAAAAAGAGACUCCGGGUUUGAGAGGUGGGCUUUUUAAUUUUCGUUUCAAGGGCUUUGCUUUUUCAUUUUUUUUUUUUUUUAAAUAUUUUAGUUUUAUUUUUAAUUUAGUGACACGUUUUUUGGUUUCUGUGGAUGCUACUAAAAAGCGCCGUUUAUGUUAUCAUGCGCAUCAGAUUGAAGAUUCCAAAAGCCUUCCCCAAUAUGAUAUGACGUCGUUUUGAAUUUAGGGCAGUCCAAAUUAUAUCUUAUUUUAAUUAAAUUACAGCUUUGACCCCAACUUUCUUCAAUCCUUUUUUAUUUUCUAUAUUUAAAACAAAAUCAAAACCUAAUAACCGUUUAAACUUUCUGUGUUUAUUUAUAUAUUUUUAAUAAAUGAUAAAUCUACAAAGUCCAUUAACCUAAGAAGACCUAUUACAAUUUUCUUUUUAAAUUAAAAUACUAAACAUUACAUACAUACAUACAUAUAUAUAUAUAUAUAUGGUGUGGAUCAAUCUAUACUAUUUUUUUUUCUUUAUUCAUUUCUAUAAAUAUUCAUCCCUUAUACCUUUCAUCAUUAAAAUUUUGGUGGAUAACAUUUUAAGCCAUUUAGUUGUGUGGUGCAUUUGUUGAUUUAUUGUCUAAUUUUUCUUAACAUUAAUAAAAAUCAUGCUAAAUUUUGAAAAAUGACAAAAUUAUAUAUCUAUUUUUUUUAGAAUUUAACUAUAAAAUUUUGUUUUUAUUUUUAAAAAUGUAAAUCAAUGGAAUAUAUUUUUUAAAAAAUAAAAAAAAGCAAGAGAUUGGUUGAUAAUUAUUUUAUUUUGUAGUUUUGAUUUUUAAAAAGUAAUUUCAUUUUUUUGAUUUCUUACUCUAGUUUGCGCAAAAUGAUUUUUUUUUAAGAAAAAGAAUUCUUUUUAUAUAUAAUUUUAGUUUGGUUGUUUAAACACAAGCAGUCAAAUACAAAUUAGAAAUUUGGGGAUGGUAGGCGUGUUUACAAGUUUUUUUUUAAAAAUAUAAAAAAUAUAAGUUUUAUUUAGGUUUUUUUUUUUUUUAACAAUAGUUUUCUUUUUAAGUAGUGUUUAAAUUCUUAGUAUUUUUUAGAAAAGAUUUCUUAAUGCUAUUUUUAUUUGUUUUAAAAUUUUGGCUCAAUUUUAUAAUUCAAAUAUUGUAAAGAGAUGGAAGUAGUGUGUGUGUGUAUAUAUAUAUAUAUGUAAUAUUAAAAAAUAAAGGAAAAAAUAAAAGAAAAUGUUACCAAAUAAAGUUUAAUUUUUAAUUUUUUGUAACUAAAAUUUAAACUUGUUAGUUCUAAUUUAUUUAUGGUAGAUUUUUAUCCUAUAGGUUAUAUUAUUUUUUUUUGUACAUUUUUAUCCUAAUACAUCGAGUGAGUUCUUAGUUAAAUAGUUAACGUAAACUCAACGCACAUGUUUGUACAAAGGACAAAAUGUAUUGUUGAAUAAGAAAUUUUGAGACCAAUCACAAAUUGCUACAUCAUUUAUUAAUUUAACGAUGAAAAAUACAAGUAAUUAAAUUUAAGAUUAAUUAAAAUUGACAUGUCCCACCAGACGUGCCAAUUUGUUCACACGAGAUUUCCGUAGAAAUUUAAUUCGUGGACUUGAACUUGAGUUGAUGUCGUAUUUUUGUUGAUUUGAUGCGUUGUUGUUCUAUCUCUACAAUUUGAUCAUCUGAUUAUCUCUCGACUUAAUGUCAAUGCUUGAUUUGGAGGAAGCGGAGCACGUGACGUUUUUCAAGUUGGUUGAAUGCUUACGCUUGUUUUGAGGAAGCGGAGCAUGUAAUGUUCUUGAAGUUGGAGUCUUGGAAGAAAGUUUGUAUCUUCAAAGGAGUUUCAAUCUUCUGAUGGAGGUUGUUGACGAACGAGACCAUGAAAUCACAGCUUUAAAAGAGUAGACCAUGAAAUCGAAGAUUGAAGCUCAUUUGAAGAGACAAACUUUCUUCCAAGACUCAAACUUCAAGAACAUCACGUGCUUCGCUUCUUCAAAUCAAGCGUAAGCAUUCAGUCGAGAGAGAAUCAGAGGAUCAAAUUAUAGAGAUAGAACCACAACGCAUCAAAUCAACAAAAAUACAACAUCAACUCCAAGUUCAAAUCUACGAAUUAAAUAUCUCCGAAAUCUCGUGCGAACAGAUAUUAUAAUACUUUUUUAGAAAAAUAGAUUGUUCUAUCUGUCUUCAAUUGAUAUGAGAUAUAUAUUAAUUUUUUCUAAAGCUUUUUAUCAUCUAUAGUUAAUAUUUAAAAAAGUUUGCACUUUUGGUAGUUUUUUUCUCCUGAAAUUAUUGUUAUUAUUUGACUUAUUCUAAUUAGGACGAUUAUUCCAUAGUGACAAAAAGUUUUAAUUUAUUAAAAAUAUAGAAACUUAGUAAUUGGACAUUUAAAGAUACGAAUAUAUUAUAAUCAAAUUAGCAAAAUAAUGUUAUUUUAACAAACACCUGAUAAAAAAAACAAAAUAAUAUGAGUACAUUGCGUAGUGGUAGGUUAUCCCUCCCUCGCCAUCACAACACAUUUAAAUAUACAGACAAUCAUGUGAGUCGAUUUUUUAGUCGAUCGUAAAUGUUCAAACCAUGUUCGACUAUUGAUAAACAUCGAUUUAAACAUUAUAAAUAUUUUUUGAAAAUGAUCAAUUUAAAACUUUUUCAUGCCUAUUGCAACCAACCUACUUUGAUUUGGUUGGUUGACUCAAUUUUUCAAUCUAUCAUGCUCAUCUUUAUUUUAAAACGCAUUGACUUUUUCUUCGAGAAAAUAAUGAUUUAAUAUUGUGUUGAAGGAAAAAUUCAUCUAACUAAAUUUUGUCACCUUAUCUUAAUCAAAAUUAUAAAUUAGAUCAUAUCAUUAAUUAAAGAGUAACUAUAAACUUAAAACAUUUUAAAAUUAGAUUACAGAUUUAGUUUUUAAACUCAAAACUUGUAUUAAUUGGGUCUAUGUAUUUUAGAAACAAUAAAACUUACACUUGGUAUGGAGUGAUCUUAAAACUCAUUUGAUUGAGCCAAGUCAUGAGUUAUUCAAUAUAUUCUUUUCUUUAAAAAAAACUAAAUACAAGUAAAAUAUUAAAUUUUAAUAGACCAAUUGAAUUAUAUAUUUAAUAGAUCAAUUAUAAAAAAGGUUAUAUAUAAACUAAUAAAGUACUCUAUUGGUAAUUAGUAUUUUUAUUUUACUUGUUUGGAUGAAUGUAAAGUUGUUGAAAGAUUGAUUAAUAUUGUGGAAGCUAAAGUCAUGGGUGGAAUUAGAUGAUGCUUUUUUAAAAGUUGAUAAACUAGACUAACUACAAGUCAAUAUUUAUCUAAUUUUAAAGGUUGAUUGAUUUUCUUAUUAAAACAAUUCAAUGAUGUAAUGAUUGUUAUGUUUGGAUGCAUUUACAACAAUAUCAAACCCAAAAACAAUAUACAACUUUUGUUAAUCUUCUUAAGCUAAGAUUCAUCCAUUAACCUCCAAUUGUAUUAUCCUUUUAAAUACUUGUCAUACAUUUAAGUUCAUUUCUAUUGUAAUUAUAUUUCUUAUAAACUGCUGAUUGAGAAGCAAAGAGGUAAACAAAUUGAGUUAUUUCAAACCCCCAAACCAACUUUUCAAUCAAUCACCACACAAAUGAUACUAUAGUAUUGGAUAAAUGUAUAUAAUAUGUAUACUUUCUCCAAUUACAUGUGACAUUAUAUUUGAAAGAAUAGUUCUUUUUAUUUUUCUCCUUUUUUGUUAUGUAAAAAUAAAAAUAAGAAGACUUGAAUAAUACAUGAGUUAAUAUAUUUUUUUUUUUACUUAUAUUGUAAAUUUAAUAAUGAUUUAAUAUUUACUUAAUUUUGUAUAGUAAUUGUUGAAGGGGAAGAAAGAUUGAAGGGAGAUUUUGAAACUUAAAACAAAAGUAGUUUUAGCAUUUAAAAGAAUAAUAAAAGAAGAGGAAUAUUGAGAUUUAGUAUAAGAAUAUAAAAUAAGUGUUAUGUGUGGUUGAUAAUAAAAAUAAUAAGUACAUUCCAAAAUUUAAAAUAACAAAAUCAAAUAUUGAUAAGAAGAAGGUCAAAAUUGUCAUAUUUUUGACUUGUUGUUCAACAAAAAUCAUUCAUUUUUUUUAAAAAAGAUUGUGUAUUUUAUAGAAAGAAAUAAGAAUUAGCCUACAAACAAUAAACAAUAUAUUGUGGUAUUAUAAUAAAAUAAGAAAGAAAAGCAAUAUAAAUAAACUUUAUAGUAUAUUAGUUAUGCGACUAAUAUACCAUGAUUUAAUUAUUAGUAUAUUAGUUUCAAAAUUUAUUUCACAUAUCACAUUAGUUUAUUGUUAUUUUAUUAAUUUUAUUUACAAUAUUAACGGUAGAUAACUACUCGUUCAUCAAGUGUAACAAUAGUUUGUAUUAUAUGAUAGUAGAAAGUAAUUUGCUGAAAAAAUUAAUACUCUAAAAUAAAUUAAUGAUAUCUAUAUAACAUUUUAAAGUAUAUCAAACUCACAUAACCAUUACUAGGUUGGAGGUUAGCUUAGUGGUAUUAGUAUCAUAAAUUUCGAUCUCAUGUCCCGAUUAAACAUUAAGCACAUUAUUUCUAUAAAAGAAACGUAAGCAUGGAAGUUCAAAAUAAGAAAAAGUUUUGACAUUAACCCAAAAGUAAUUCAACCGAACAAAUUAGUAACUUAAGAAGCAAGCAUAAGUAAAAGAACAAAUUAUACUUUUUUUUCCCUUAGACAUUGUUCUCAUUGCUCAAAUAUGGCUUGGAAAUUUGAAAAUUGACAAACUCCCCAAAGAGUUCCAAACUUUAGAGCAUAUUCACAAAAGAGAAAAGGAAUAAAAAGUUUAAAAUACAAUGCCCAACGGCUAUGUUCCAACUUCCAACCCACCAUAGCCCUCCUUUUUCCAGCUUGGCUCACGUUCCCUCUUUCCUCCACCACUCUUUAAAACCCCUUUCUUUGAAUCAAAACACAACCAUCAUUUUCAUCUUCAUCUUCGUCUUCGUCUUCACCACAAAAUGCAGUCUAAAAGGCCACCCAUUUUCCAAAAGCUUUCUAAUUUCCUCAGAGUUUCAAUCUUUAUGGCUAAAAUGAAAAGACCUAUCAUCCCAAAGCUCCUUUUCCUCAAGAAAUCAUCCAGAAUGAAGAGUUUUGAACUCCUUCACCACUAUAACUAUGGGUUUGUUCGAGAUUUUGAAUUCUCCCCUUCCACCACUCCUCUGUUUCGGUUCAAUAACAGAGGCGGCCGUCGUGGCCUCCGUCGCUACGAUGUCUGUUCGGUGCUGUUUCCAUGUAGAUGUAUUGUUGGUGGUUCUGGAGGUGAAAAAAAGGAAGGAGAUGGAGAUUAUGGCGUGGAGGAAGCUUUUCCGGAGUCGUUGGAUUGGAGUGAUGAUGAUGAUUCGAUUGAUCGGAGGGCUGAGAUUUUCAUUCAGAAGUUCUAUGAGGAUAUGAAAAUGGAGAGGCUAACAUCCAUUUUUUGACUUCAUGAGUUGAUUCUUUAAUUGGGUUUGUUGAAAUUUGAAUUGUUUUUUGAUUUACUCACUCACUCCACUGAAGUUUUUAGAAAUGGUGGAGAUUGGUUUUUGAAUUCUUGUGAUUUGGUUUUCUUCAUUCAUUAUUAUUUAUUGGAUUGGUAUUGAAUCAAAUGUAAACAAAUUUUGGAAUAAAGUUUAGAGUUUUUGUUGUCUCCCCCACAAUAGUAUGCUCUUGCCUAAACCAAUAACAUAUACAAAAACAGAUACGAACCCAUUCUUUAUCUCAUCCAAUCAAAAUAUUUUUUAGUUUUUGAAAAGUAGACAACAAACCAACCAAUUUAGUCGUAAGAGAUGUUCUAAAUUUAAUCUUUUUUAAAAAACUAAAAACUAAAAACUAAAUUAAUUAAUUAAAAUUUUUCUAGUUUUUUUUUUUUUUUUUUAAUGUUUAGAGAUUAGGAAGAUUUUUAUAGGCUUAAUAAAAUCAAAAUUAAACCAAUUUAGAUUUUUCUAUCCUAAAUGACCCAUUAAUUUUUGUAUAUUUUCUUUUAAAGAAAUUGACUUGGUUAUAAUGAUGUAUAUUCCUUCUAAAAUAAAUAAUGAUGUGAUUUGAAAUGUAUGUAUUGACUUGCAUGACAUGUAUUUAUGAGGUAAUAAUCAAGUUUUUUUCUUUUAAUACAAGGGGAUUUGAAUUUUAAACCACAAAUUUUUAUAUUCUUAAAAUACACUAAUGUUAAUUGAGCUUAGCUAAAUUUAAUAUUGGGAGUAGAUAAAUAUUAAGUGAGAAAAAACACUAAACAUAUUAAUAAUUUAAAGACUAAAUAUACAUUCACAUGUAUAUUUUUGUUAAAGAUUUUUAACCAUACAAUCCAAAAUUUGCCCCUUCCCAUUUGAAAUUAGGAAUGUAGAGAAACGUUUUAUAAACAUACAUUGGGAUAAAAAUAAUAUAAUUCAUUUAGUAUCUUCUCUUGCUUAUUGUUAGGAACUGAUUUAUUUGAAUCUCAAUUCUUUUGUUGUUCGUAAUAAUAUAAAAUAGGAUGUAGAUCUACCACUAGAUAUAAAAAAUAUUACUUUAAAUCUAAAUUUUAAUUAUUUGAACAAUGUUUAUAUUGGUUUCUAGAGGUUUAAGAAUAAUUUGGGUAACCCAACAACUCGAACUAUCCAACCCAUAUUAUAUGAAAAUUUUAACUCAAACCCAAUUCGAAUU
rnacentral:lncRNA from 1 species